GCACAGAAACCACUAAGCAAUGCGAUAUUGAUCAAGAACUUCAGCAUUUCUCUUUCCUGUGACGAUUCUGAACUCCCUUAAAUCUGCAUACUGAAAUGGUCGAUAACGUGGACCACCGUUAAGUUCCGCUAACUUUGGAUGAGCCUCAACAAUACCAUCCCUUGCUGCUAACAUAAAUAUACCAAACGAAUAACGAGUACUUGUUUCCUUGCAGAUUACACGAUGCCUAGCAUUCCAAAAUUUUUCAUUGCUCCAAACCUGUGAGAAAAAAAGGUAUAUUUAUCUUCAAGAGUAGUGUACAAAAUAUUACUAUAUUCAAAAGAAACAUAAUCAUAUAUGCUCACAUGUCCAACAUCUCCAAUAAUGCAGAGGAAGGAGCCUGAUUUUGGAGUGACUUUUUUCAAUAAGCCAGAAUCAUCCAACAGCUCAAGACCAGUAACAGUUUCAUCAUCUUGAAGAAGAGUGAUAAAUCCUGUAUCUGAGUGCAACAUUAUUCCCAUUUCACCAACAUUUUCAGGGCUGAAAUUGUAUUUAAUAGUUCUUAAAAGGAAAGGCCAGUCCUUGAAAUCAACAUCCACUAUACCCAAACACUUNGCCAUUUUUUGUGCUAUAGUUGAUGCUAAGUCAUGAAUUGCUUUCCCAUACUCCUUUACUAUUUCCCUGUCAUGCAAACAAAUCUACAUUAUUUAAAGCUUUUGCAAUGGCUGCUAUGAAAUAAAGAGAGAGGUUGAAGAAAGGAACCUGUAACGGGGUGGUAAAUCCANNUNNGAAAAGAAAUCUUCAANUGCCUGUGGUGAUUUAUGAUAGUCAUAUAUUCCCAUGGCCUCAUAUAGAGGACUUGAUGGAAACGGUGGAAUAUAACCACUGUCAGGAAUUACGGAUUUGUUGCGCAAUUUUGUCUCCAAAGGAAGAUCAUGCCAGAAUUUCACCGCUGAUUUCAUCUCUUUCAUGAGUGUUUCUGAAAUAGGGUGGUUGAUGACCCUGAAAAUACCACAUUGCUCACAUGCUUCUCUUAGCUUCUUCCACUCCUCUCCCUCUGAAAGCUUCUGAAAAUCCACCACAGGAACAUUAGCCUCCAUCUCUUUCUCUUUCCUGAUCCUUUGCCUUGGAUACACUCUCUGUUUUUUAGAGCGGAGCAACUAGUUAACUCACUAAUAUAUAGACGAAUCAGUCUUGCCUCGGUAAAAGUAAGUUGUUAAUGUUUGUAAAUUUCAAGACAUAUACCCUCAUGUAAAUUUAAUAAUUCAAAUGGGGCACAAUCCCCGGAUUCCGGCUCGUUACGGAGAAAAUUUAAUUUUUUUUUUAUGAAGAUGAAAUUUAAAUCCAACUCAUUUAAAUCUGAUUGGAUUAAAUAUGUAAUGGAUCGAAUUGAACCACGAAUCUAUCUACUUAAUUUUAUUUUAUUAAAAUUUAAUUUUAAUUUUAUAAAAAAAUUAUUUAUUAUUAUUUUUGUUUGAAAAAAUUAUUUAAAUUUCUUAUUUUCAAAAUUAAUUAAACACUUAUGUUGGAAGUGAGAUUUGAGAGUGAAAUUUCCUCAAAUUUGAAUUAUAGAAAGUUUGUAAUUUUUUUAUUUUAAAAAAUUACAAUUAAGUGAGUCAAUGAACCCGUGAUGGAUCGUACUGGUUCAAAUUUUUGUGACUCACUAAUAAAUAAAUGAGUCGGGUUGAAUUGAUUUACUAAGUGAUCAAUCCUUGAUCGAUCGGACCAGGUGACCGUUUUCAUAGAACUACUUAAAUUUAAAUUUUAAGAAAAUGAAUUUGAUGAUUAAGAAUGAUAAUAGAUCUGAUCGAAAAUACUCGAUAUAUAUAUUCAAAUAAUAAAAAAAUUAUUAAUAAAAUAGAGAAUAUAUAUAUAUAUAUAUAUAUAUAUAUAUAAAUGAAUUCGUAUUAAUAAUAACAUAACGAUAUUAUGACACAUUUUUACGUUUAUUUAACACAUAAUACAAGUAUAAAAUAGUUAUAAAAAUACGAAGUUUUGUAUUUUUAAAAAAAGAAAAUAAAAAAAAAAUAUUAAAAUUAGAUAUGUUAAAAAAUAUUUUACUUAAUAAUAGCAUACAAACUGUUAGUUAGGAGUGCAAGUUAUAAAUGUAGUAAACUAUUGCUUUGGAAAGAUCCGACAUAAUUACGUAAUUGUAUCGAUUUCAUUGGCUGCUGCGCUUUUCUUUAUUGGGACAAAAUCUUCUAGAAAGAAAACGAAUCUAUUGUUCAACCACACAUUUUUUUCCAAAAACAUUAUUUUUCUAAAUACCAAACUUUUUACAUAUUCAAACCCAAUAUAUAUUUUUCAAAGCAUAUUUUUUAAGAUAAUUAUACGUCAACCAAUUCACAUUAUCUAAGGUUGUUCACACCAAAUCUAACAAUUUUCUAAUUAAUCUAUAAUAGCAUAAAAAAGACCUCCAUUUGUAUCAUCUACAUUUGAGAAUUCUAAAAACUACUCAUUAACUUGUAAUGGAGUUGAUGAAAUAUCCACACACCGUAAUAGAAAAAACAUGUUCUCUAUAUGACUUAUUAGCUUGAGUACAAUCAAGCAUGCUUGAAUAAUAUUUUGCAUUCUUAUUUUUCUUUUAUAAUUUUUGUUUUGAUUUCACAUGCUAAAAAGCUUAUUGAUGUGAAUCACAUUUGCACAAGGACUAAUUUAGGACUUUUAGGGUUAAAAUCUUAUAGAAAAUUUAGAAAAUAGAUAAGAAAGUUGAUAGUAUUUUGUUUAAGACAAAAAUCGUCUAAACAUUAAGUGUUAAGAUAUGAUCGUCUAAAUGAAAUAACACUAGUAAAAAAAGAGAUAUUACUGCACCCGUUAGGCUUCGAUUCACCAGAAACCGAAGCAUAAAAUGAUGCAGUGACAUUUUUGAAAUUUUUUUCAAAAGUAUAAGCUUUGGUAGUUUUGGAAUUGAAGCAAUAUAGUAUAUAUGGCCUCGGUUGUCAACAAAACUGAAGACAAAAACUCCUACUAGACGUUGACAAUCUAGUCAACUGUUUGAUGAAAAUUUUUAUGCAAGGCUUUUGAUAUCGAUUGUCUGCAAAGCUGAGGCUAAAAACCUUUGUAAGAAGCUGACAAUCCAGUCAGCUGUAUGAUAAAAUCUCUAUGCAGGGCUUUUGGCAUCGGUUGUCUGGGCUUUUAGCAUCAUUUGUGUGUAGAACCAAGGCCAAAAAUCCCUACAGACACUGACAUUCUAGUCAGUUGUUUGAUAAAAUCUCUAUGCAAGGCUUUUGGCAUUGGUUGUCUGUAAAACCGAAACCAAAAACCCUUAAAAUACUUUCGAGGCUUACAUAAAUACCUUUAAAAUUAAUAUUUUCUUAAACCUGCAAAAAAUACCACAAAACAACACAUUAUAUUUAUCACACCCAAGCCAGAAUCUAUACAAGAAUAUGUUUUCCUUACAACUUGUAAAUGUGUUAUAUACUAAUGCAACAUAUAUCAAACAUAAAAAAUUACAUUAAACGUAAAAAAAAUACUUUAACAUAAAUAUAAACAAUAAUUAAAAACAUAUUUAUAAAAAUUAAAAUUUUUCAUGAACCUAGGAGCAUAAAACAGUUGGAAUUAGAAAGCUCUCAAAUCUUCAAAAUAUCAAGUGAAAAAUUUGCAUCUAAUAUGAAGAACCUGAUCAAAAAGUAGUUGCACUAGUCUUUGAAAUGAUAAAAAUAAAACUUGAGCAAACCUCUCUCUCGUGAUUUCAAAAUGGAAGUCAAGUAAAGAUUAUGGAGUUGGGGACAUGGAAGGCAAGGGAAGAUUUGAGAAUGAAGGAGUGAAAAAGUGGUAACAACACAUUAUGACAAUGAAACGGUGUUCGCAAGGAACCAAAACAGUAAAGAAAGAGAGAAAAAAGUGGUGUUUUCGUAAAAAUUUCUUUUAAAAUAAUCUUGGACAACACAUUAUGCUUCAGUCAUAAUAAAAAUUGAAACCAAAUCUUGUCACUCAAAUAAAAUAAUUUUAAAAAAUAGAAAUUUUGAAAAUUUUUUAAUUUUGUUACUCAAUUCUUUAAUAAUUGAAAUAGAAAAUUAUGUACGGAUUCUAUUCUUAUAAGAACCGAAACCAAACAUUUUUAAAAUUUUGAAAAAUUUUACACACCUUUCAUCUUCAGUUGUUAGAGAAUCAAAAUAGAAAAAAAUGUAUAACUUUGGUUAUUUAAAAACUAAUGUCAUAUCUCCUCUCUUAAAUAAAAUAAUUAAAAAUAUAACAAAUUUUAAAAAUAUGUUGAGAAACCGAAGGAACAAGCAUAUAUAAAAAAGACAAAUCUAGACUAGUACCUAAAGCCUUAUUCCAUCAAAUAUAUGUUGCAUUGUUUUACUUUAUUUAAUAUAUUUUCAAAACAAACAUGAUACUCAUUUGCAUUAUUUAUAAUUUAUAUGUUUUUAUUUUUUAUUUUUUGUUUAUUUAUUUGUUUGUUUAUUCACAUUUAAUAUUGAUUUAUUAAAAACGAUUUAUUAACCUAUGGGGUUGUAUUCUUAUUCAUUUUUUGAUGUAUUUCUUGUAUUUUAGUGAUCUGAUAACUUAGAUUUUUUAUGUAUGUUUUAUAUUUUUAAUUAGUAAUUAUAAUUUUACCUUUUGAAUUAUGAGAAAUUUAAAUUUUUCAUGUGUUAUUUUCAUCAAUGUCUUAAUUAUUUUAGUCUUUUUCAUCAAUUGGAUGACAAUCUUAAUGCAUAAAAAAUAGAAUCUGUAUUAACAAACAAAAUGAAAUUCAAAAUAUACUCAAUAAAAUUUCAUGAAACUAUAAAAAUGGAUUGUAAUGUAUGUUUAAUUAAUUUAUAAUUAAAACGUAAAAUGAAUAACAAAAAAAACGUAUUUUUUUAUCAAUUUAUUCAAUAUAAUCGUAUUUCCCAUUCAAUUCAAUUAUUAAAGUAUUUAUACUGUUUACAAUUCAUUAUUUUAAGAAAAAAAAAUUUAAAUAAGAGUUUAAAAUAUGAAUUUGUGUUAAAACACGAUGACUUCAAAUAGAUAUUUAUUCUUUCUAUUUUUACCAAAUCUACUUUUUAUAUACAUAAUCUAACUUUAUAAUUUUAAAUUUAUUGAAAGUCUGUAUCGAUUAAAAAUAAAAUUAAUUUAUAAUAAAUAAAUGGAAUGUAAACCUCGUUUUAUAAACUAAUUUUAUAGAUUUGAGUUACAGUUAUCUACUUUCUAAUAAGAUUUACUAUUUACAUUUUCUUUAUUAUUGUUUAAUCUUUGUAAUUUUACACCCUCAAUUCUUUACAUUUUCACAUUAUGUAUCUUUUAUAAUUUUAUGUCAUUUACUCUUAUUUUUUGUUGUCAUGUAAUGUUUAUAUUUUUAUAGAAUUUACUCAACAAUUCAUAUAUAGUUAAUCCUUUAUGUUAUUAUUAGAGCGUAUAUCAUUUACAUUUUUAUAUAUUUUUUAUUUCAUUUAAAAUUGAAUUUAAAUUCUUAAUUUUAGUUAACUUAAUCGUAAUAUAUUAUUUAAAAUAAUUAUACACUUAUUUUACUAUAUAAAUAUAUAACUUAAAUACAUUAUGCAAACAAUUAAAAUAUUAUUAUUUAAUUUUAUACAAUGAAAUACCUAUUACCAGUUCAUAUAUAUUUUCAGACUGAAAUCGUACUUAGUAUAUUCAAAGACUUGGCGAUCUUUUGUGAUAUAGUUUUUUCCACGUCUUGAACUGUUUAGCCAUAUUUGUCUUUUGUGAUAUAGUUUAUGCCACGUCUUCAAUUGCUUCGCCAUAUUUGCCAUAUUCGUCUCUUUCUCUUUCUCUUUCACUUCUUCUUAUUAUUUGCCUUAAAUAUGAUUCUUAGAGUUUUUCCAGAGCGAUUUAAAAAAGACUUUGUUUACCGUUUUCAAACUGAUAUAUAGAAACAGAAAUAUAGAAAAUAUUUAAUCUUUUGUAUCGGUUCUAAAACCGGAAUAAAAAAGUACAUUUUUAUAUUGGUAGAAAAAUUUUACAAAUUUCACUUUUUUAUAUUAGUUCUAAAACCGCUAUAAAAAAUUCAUUAAAAGAUGAAUAAAUAUGUAUAUGAUCUAGAUCUUUUAUUCAAAAUAAUUAAUAUAUUUUUUAUUAUUUACACAUCAAAUAACUUUUCCUAAUAUGAAUGUAUUAUGUAUGCAUCUAAUAUUUAGUUAAGAUUAUUUAUAAAUACUUAAAAAAAUAUAGCUUAUUAUUCUUGAACAUCUUUUAGGACCUUUUGCUUUAUUGGAGAUGCGUUAUCGAAUAUCUAUACAAUAAACAGUUUGAGUCAACUUAUAAUGAUAAUAAAUGUUAGUUAUAAAAUGUUCACGUUACAAAAUUUUGAUGAGUCAAGAAUGUUUGUGGACAUGAUUUUUUGCAUGUGUCUCAUGACAUAAUAUUCACAUUCAAAGCUUUCCAAUUGACAAGAGUACUACAAGUUAAAUUUAUAAAGUAUAAUAAAUUCUAUAAUUUUAUUUCAAUACUUUGAAAGGUUAACUACUUACAGUUGGUACAAUGAACUGCAACUUCUUUCUAGAGGCAGUAUGUGUUCUUUGCAACCUCGAAUACGCCUCAACCACUCUAUAAAGGUGAAUGUACAUUGAAAUCAGUGCCUAGUAUGAAACUUAGAAAAAUUAAAUUAUGUAUACACAAAAAAUAAAUUAUUAAAAAACUUACACUAUUCGUGUACUUUUAAUUGUCAAAGUGAGAGGUUUUUGUGUAAAGAACACAAGAGAACCACAAGAGACGAUUGAGGAAGAAUUGGUAACAAUUUCCAAUGACCCUUGUAGAUUCAAACAAUAAUAGUGUGAAAUAAGAUUUAUAUAAAUAGAAUUUUAUUAAUAAAGAAAAACACAUACUUACUAUUGCAAAUGAGGAGCAAAGUAGACUUGUUUUUUUCCCCUUUUCAAAGGCCUCUAAGAGGUACUUUUGGACCUUUUCACCUUCAUUCCCAACUCUUUGAAUGGAAACUAGGUCAACAAAUCUAUAAAUGUGAUUAUUCUUUCUCUCAAUGCUUAACUGAUGUAAAUACCUUAGACAUUGAAACUGAAUAAUGUUAUAAUAACGAAUUAAAAUUAUUUAAACUUCAUAUAAGUAAAAAUUUACUUACAAAAACUAAAGUUGUAAUAUUGAUAUAUAUGACAUAUUAGUGCCAAAGAAAACUUCAACAACAUCCCUCUGACAUAUAAAGAAACAUAGGGAAGUUGUCUUAUUUGUGCCUUCAGGAGGCAUUUAUAACUCUGUAGGAGAAAGGAAGAUCUUCACUAUCAAAACACCAAGUUAUUCUAAAAUUGUUUGUUAUGGCGAUUGUGGCGACUGUGGCAGUUGUGGCAAUGAUUCACUCACAUCCUCCUCUGUAUGUGCUCCAACUUGGUAUACAUACUUAAAAACUUAUGUAAGAUUAAUAUACAAUUACAAAUAAAAAUAACAGAAUGUGUAAUUAAAAUAAUUACCUCCUUUACAAUUGGUUUUGAUAACCAAACGAGCUAAAGGAUAACAUUUCUAGGGGCCUACCCCACAAUCUGAACCUCCUGAGUGGGCACAUGGGCUCGAGUAGUAGCAUCUUGAACGUUUACAACCACCACCUUCUUCAUAUCAGCUGUAAUGGUUUCAUGGUGUAUGGUUAACCUUAAUGCAUACAUUUUACCUAAGUUAGCCAAAUAAUAUUUGUAAAAUAAUGGAUGCCUUGCUUCUAUCGAGCCCAAAACUAAAAAACUUAAGACACAAAGGAAACCUCACGGCUGUAGCCAUGGAUGCCACCACUGCAACCACACUAUCAGAGUCUAUAAAAACAAAAUUUCUCCUUUGUUUUAGAUAAAUAUUUUGGAGACCUUUGAGAGGGCUUUCUAAAGAGAUUUUAGAGAGACUUUAGAAAGUCUCCUCACACCUUUCCUUUGUAUUUAAAGAAUAUCUUUAGAGGAAUAAGAGAUGACGUUUGUUCUAUGUUUAACUUCUUUUCAUUCAUUGUGAGGAGCUAAAUAUUCUAGGUGUUAGAAUGAAAUGUAAAUCACUUUGAACUCUUUGUAUUCAAUAUUAUCUUUAAUUAUGAAAGUUUGUUUUUGAUCAUAAGUUUUUUAAUUGAUUUAUGCUUGUUGUUAGAUGAAUUGAUCACUGAUCUUAUCUAACUAGUUUGAGAUUCAAUGGAAAUUAGUUUCAUGUAGUGGUCCAAUAAGUUUUUUUGUAUGCUUCUAGAUGCUAGGAAUAGAUAUAUUGUUCCUUGGAUCAUUAAAGAAUUUAGGGAACAUGGAAUCAAUAUUCUUCCACUACAAACCAUCUGUCGGAUGCCUCAAAUUCCCAUAUUUUAUACAUUCAUAUACAUGUCAUCUCAUGAGUUUUGCAUCAUUGGGUUACUGAAUAAGCUUUUCAACCACGAAACAUGAGGAAGAUACCACAAGACUUUUGUAAGAGGACCUUUACUAUCACAUUUUGACUCACCAUCUUUUUGUUUGUAUCAUGAUACCCCACAUUGUGGACAUUGGUGUAACUUGGCACACUCUCUCUACUACAAGACAUAAUCGUUUGGGCAUGCAUGAAUUGUUUACACUCCAUACCAAUGGGACAAUAUUUUCUUCACAUCAUAAUUGCAUGUUGGCAAUGUGUUAACUUCAAGAAGCAUGUCACUCAACAACUCAAGCAUUUCUAUGAAGCUUUUACUCAGUCCACCGAUUUCUUACCUUCGCAUUGAACAAUUUUAAUAUUGUUGACAAUCAAGUAUACUUAGUGCAUUUUUGAUACAAUGGUUUCUCUGCAUCACUGCACAAGUUUUUAUACAUAUGAGAAUAUUGGAAGGAAUCAUGUUCGACAUCGUGUACCAUGUUCUUUAGCUGAUCACCUAUCUCUAAAUCAACUUGCUUUGCUUUUACUUUAAACUUAGUUACACUUAACUAGCAUGUCUAUUAAUUCACCAUGUAAAGUCCACUUUGUGUAGCCCUUUAGGAAUCCAUCACAAAGAACAUGCUCCUGAAUAUCUUCAGUUAGUAGUUUUCGCUCAUUCAAACAAUUAACACACAUGCAAUAUAAUCUUCCAUUAUUGUUUGGAACAUUAAUCUUUGGAAAUUCAAGAAAUGGUUCUACUCCACUCUCAUAUUCAUCUUUUAUGCCUAUCAAAUUUAUCCAACUUUGGUCUAUUGUUAUCUGUAAACACCAACACCUAUACUUUUAAGUGGAGCUAAGAAACAGUUAAACACAUAAUCCAAUCUAUGAACUCAGUCCUACUACUAAACCACAACAUAAACAAUUAAUCAAUAGAUUUAAUUCAAUACGCCUCACUUCAAACCAUAGAAAGAGCAUGGCCCACAACAUUGUGAAACCUCUGCAACCAUAAACUCCAACGAUACAUUGUAGCACCGCAAACAACACAUUGUAGCACUACCAACGACAAAGCAAGGAAGGAAUGUGAGACGACAACGAUGACCAAGGAAACACGUGCACAACAACCAACGACCAAUGCAGAGAAAGUUCAGAGAACCAAUGAAGCAAUAAGGGAAACACAAUGAAGUCAUUAUUGGACAAACAACGAAGGAAACAUGAAUGAGAGGAAGAUACGAAUUAGAAGGAGAAACACACAUAAAGGAAGAAGGAGAUAAAUAUUAAACAUUCUAUAUCGAUUUUAGGAACUAAUCAAUAUAAAAAAUGUUCUCCAAUAUUACAUUUUUUUACCACGUCACUUUUUAUACCGAUUUUAGAUCUAAGUGAUAUAAAAAAGCAAUUUUCUAUAUCAAUUUUGAGUAUAAUCAACAUAAAAAGCUUUGCAAUUUAUUACCAUUUUUCUGCUAUGUCAUUUUGUAUAUUAAUUUUGGGUCCACGUGAUAUAGAAAACUUCGCAUAUUUACCAUACUCAUGUCACUUUCUGUACCGAGAAGAUAUCAACCACUAUAAAUGUCAUUAUAAAAAACGUGUUUUUGAGCUAGUGACAACUGUAUUCCUCAGUGGCACAUAAUUUUUCAACAACAUUUAAAAUAUUAGAGUGACAUGGUGUUUUCCAUUUACCUACCAACCUGACAACAAUUCAUGACGUGUACGUUGCUUGAUCACUCGAUUGGUGGUUGCUUUAUUUGCUUCUAGAAGAUUACAACAAAACCUUUUAUGCACGGAAACGGGCGCAUUAUUUUAUUUCUAUAUUAACGAGUAAGACUUUCUUUUAUCCACACACGUGAUGAUCGUGUAUAUAUAUAUAUAUAUUAUAAUUUUACUUAAAAUUUAUUUUUUAGCUUUUGAUGUAAAAUUAUUUAUUAAAAUAUUUUUAUUAAUUAAUAAUAAUAAAAUUAAUCGGUUUAAUUUUUGUUUAAAUUUAAUAGUUUUAAAUAAAUUUUUAUUAUUUUUAAUUUCAAAAAGUUUCUUUCUUAUUAUAAUUAUUAAUAUUAUUCUAUAAGUUAUAUAUAUUUGAAAAAAUUCUAUUUUUUUAUAAUUUGAAAUGCGAUUUAGCUUAUCACUUUUCAAUCCAAUAACUUCUUUUAAUUUAUUUAUUCUAAAAUUUAUAGUUUUAUAAAAAAAUUCAACAAAUUAUUUUGUUUCAAAUAUCAUUUUAAGGUUUAACAUUAAAAAUAUAUAAUUUAGUGAGUUUAAUUUUUUAACACUAAAUAGAAAAUUAAAAAUAUUUUUAUAUAUUUUAAAUUGUUUAAAUCUACCUUGAAGUGUAGUAAAUGCUUUAUCUAAUAUAUAUAUAUAUAUAUAUAUAUAUAUAUAUAUAUAUAUAUAUAUAUAUAUAUAUAUAUAUAUAUAUAUAUAUNAUAUAUAUAUAUAUAUAUAUAUAUAUAAAGUAAUUAAUUUUAAAUGAUUCUUAAGAGAUUUUAUAAUUUUAUUAUCAACAUUUUCAUCAAAUUGUUUAUGUUUACAACUAAUAAGGUUUUUUUUUUCAUGAAACUUAAUUUUCUUUGAGUUUUUUAAAAUAUGAAAGACAAUCUUUUAAUUGUUAAAUAGUUUCAUCAAUGCACAUGUCUCCUGAUUAUAAAUUCUUACUUAAUUACAAAUAAAUGACAUACCAAACAUGUCUAACAAAAAUUUAAAGUUUUCUAGUCAUACGUUGCUGAACAAUUAAUCUCACUUUUUAUUUGAGGAUCAUCACUAGCUUUAGCUAAUUAAAAAAAAAAAAAAAACAUCUCCUAAAAGUUUGAAAUCUUAUUUCAAUACAGCCUUUCCAAUGUGUUUUUGACAAUUAUUUAAGGGUUAAUAUAUAUAUUGAUGGAGAUUGCUUUAAGGAUGUUUUUUAACAUAAAGAUGAUUUUUCAAGUAGGUUAAUGAAGUUUUUUUAAAGGUGAAUUCCAUAUGAAUAAUGAUAGUAGAGAAAACAAAUAAAGAUGAAGAGAUAAAGAUGUUGGUGUUGUAUGGUCUUAGUAGAUGUUGUUACCAAUAAGGAGAUUGUUACUAAUUAGGAGCAUUGGUAAAAUCUGAAGAAUUGUUUUGAUGAUGCUGCAAGAAGUAUUAUUUAAAGAGAACAUUAGAUUUAUUUAAAAAGCAACUUGUAGAAUUUGGAUGUAGUAGGAAAAUCUUAAACCUUGUAUUUUUAACUUGAAUAAUCGAUUAUGGACAAGCUAUAAUCGAUUAUCACUUGCAUUUUCUACUAGAAUAAUCGAUUAUCAUGAAGCAAUAAUCGAUUAUCACAAGUCAUACUUGAAUAAUCGAUUAUCACUUCAUAUAAUCGAUUAUCACUUUUUGAAAACUCUGUAACGGACUUGAAUAAUCGAUUAUCACUUACAAUAAUCGAUUAUUCAUGGUUUUUGGAAGCUGACCUUUGGCAUUCAGUGUACUUGGCUAUAUAAUUGGUUUCUGUAAUCUUCAGAAGCAACGUUUUUGAACCGAGAAAGCUUAAUAGAACACUAUUUGUCAGAGGAAAGUUCUCAGAAGCUUUGUUCAUAGUUCCCUUGCUUGGUCUCGUGAAAGGAGAGGCUCGCGUAUCGUGUGUCGAUAGUCGGAGCAGACUCUCUUCGAGUUAGCAAGGUGCUCUGCCUGGUCUUGUGAAAGGAGAAGCUCACGAAUCGUUGGUCGAUUGCCGGAGCGGUUCUCUUCAAGUUGGUAGAGUGAUCUUCUUCCGGUUCGCUCGUCGAAGGAAGGUUUAUCUAUCUGAUUUUCAUUCACUUAAUUGUAAUCUGAGAAAAAUAUUUUUAGUGAAACUGUUAAUCACUCUUUACAGUGAUUAACGACUGGACGUAGAUUCUGUUGAAUCGAACCAGUAUAAAAAUACUCGUGUGAUUUUCUCUUCCCUACACUCCUUAAUCUUUUAGCACUCCAACUGUUCGAUAAAAGUUUUACAAGAAAUUUAAAACUGACAAAGGAACUAUUUUUGUGACCGAACACGCUUUCUGCUUAUUCUUAGUUUUAUUCUGCUGCAUCAUACUCUAUCUUAGAACCAUACUCCCCCUGGUAUCAAUAAUUGGUCUCAGAGCUUGCUUUGAUAGUUUUUCAAAAUAUUUGCGAAAAUGGCCGGUCACAAUCAAAACUUUGUAUAUGCUGAGGGUGCUUCCAUUAACAGACCUCCACUUUUUACUGGAGAUAACUAUGCUUUCUGGAAAGUUAGAAUGGAAAUUUUUAUGGGGUCUAUUGAUAGAGGCAUCUGGGAAGCUGUACAAAGUGGUCCUUAUAUUCCAAAAAUUACAGUUGAUGGUGUAAAAGUAGAAAAAUNNNNNNNNNNNNNNNNNNNNNNNNNNNNNNNNNNNNNNNNNNNNNNNNNNNNNNNNNNNNNNNNNNNNNNNNNNNNNNNNNNNNNNNNNNNNNNNNNNNNNNNNNNNNNNNNNNNNNNNNNNNNNNNNNNNNNNNNNNNNNNNNNNNNNNNNNNNNNNNNNNNNNNNNNNNNNNNNNNNNNNNNNNNNNNNNNNNNNNNNNNNNNNNNNNNNNNNNNNNNNNNNNNNNNNNNNNNNNNNNNNNNNNNNNNNNNNNNNNNNNNNNNNNNNNNNNNNNNNNNNNNNNNNNNNNNNNNNNNNNNNNNNNNNNNNNNNNNNNNNNNNNNNNNNNNNNNNNNNNNNNNNNNNNNNNNNNNNNNNNNNNNNNNNNNNNNNNNNNNNNNNNNNNNNNNNNNNNNNNNNNNNNNNNNNNNNNNNNNNNNNNNNNNNNNNNNNNNNNNNNNNNNNNNNNNNNNNNNNNNNNNNNNNNNNNNNNNNNNNNNNNNNNNNNNNNNNNNNNNNNNNNNNNNNNNNNNNNNNNNNNNNNNNNNNNNNNNNNNNNNNNNNNNNNNNNNNNNNNNNNNNNNNNNNNNNNNNNNNNNNNNNNNNNNNNNNNNNNNNNNNNNNNNNNNNNNNNNNNNNNNNNNNNNNNNNNNNNNNNNNNNNNNNNNNNNNNNNNNNNNNNNNNNNNNNNNNNNNNNNNNNNNNNNNNNNNNNNNNNNNNNNNNNNNNNNNNNNNNNNNNNNNNNNNNNNNNNNNNNNNNNNNNNNNNNNNNNNNNNNNNNNNNNNNNCUUGAUGAUGAAGUUGUUUUAAGAAACAAAAUUAGUAAUUUAGAAACAAAAUUGUCUGAUGCUACUAGUGAACCUGUUGAGUGUCUGUCUUGUAAGAGUCAUAUGUUUGAUAUUGACAUACUUGAAAACUUACUUGCAAAGGAAACCAAGAAUAUUUCACAUGCUAAGACAAACUUUAAUAAAUGCAAUGUUAAAAAUAGAAACAUGCAUCAAAAUUAUAAGUCGAAAGUAAGAAAAACUCGUAGAGUUUGGGUUGAAAAAUGGACUUUUGUUAAAAAUAAAGUGAGUAAUGUGUGUUGUUUUUACUGUAUGAAGCAUGGUCACACGUCUAACAAAUGCAACAUUAAACAUUUUGAAGUUCCAAAUGGAAAAUAUACUUGGAUUCCUAUCGUAAAGUAAUAUGUCUCUAACCUCAAGGAUCCAAAUAAGAUUAUGGGUACCAAAAACUCUAUUGCUUUGUUUUGUAGAAUAAGUUUUUCAAAAGGAGAAGAAAACUUUAUGAUACUUUGCUUUUGGAAUUGAUGCUCCAAGCCAGGAAGUGAGUCAAUCAAGUGAUAUGCAAAGCUUUGGUUCGAGCACCAAGUGAUUGAGCUAAGUAGUAUUCAAACUGUACUGUUGCAUUUUGCUCUGCUUGAUCUUAAAAUCUUUGAUUACUAUUAUAUUCAUUUCUGUUUGGGCAAAUGAUAUGUUCAUCACUGAUUCAUUUAUCCUGUGGUGUGUUCUUAUUUGUUUUAGCACUUCAAUCAGUGAAAUUCUUCUGUUAUGAGAUAUUCAUGUGCUAAAUUUAAUCUUUUGGAAUGAUUAGUCAUGUGCAAUUGUUAUUUCAAUGAUUUGUUUUUGUUUAUAAAUUGAAUCUGUGUUUAACUGGUUUAGUAUUCAAUUUCCUGAAUACUUUGAAGUAAGCCUUGAUAUAUCUUUUGUCAAAAGCAAUGAAAAAUUCAUUUGAAUGAUCUGACUGAUAGAUUUUCAUUGGCAUUUUUGGAUGAUUAAGACAUUUGAUGAUUAAAUUCUCAAUUCUGUUUCAAAGCUGUUUUUGUGGAGAUUUGUUUUCAAGUUCAAAUGCAUACCGCAUAAGCUAUGAUAAUACUCAUUGAGAACUUGGAUGCAGUAAAUGAACUGAUCAAGUUUUGCAUAAUUUUGAUGUAAAGUAUCUAGUUUAUAAACUGUUGAAAGAUAAAAUCUGAAUCAACUUUUGUGUUUGAAUUUUCUAUAUGUUGUUUUGAUAUGCACAACUGAAUUUAUGGGAUUGAACAUAUUGGGAUAUAAGAGUGCAUGAAUCAUAGUUGCUAUUUGGGAAGGUAUAAAUUAUGCUGUCAAAAUUAGUUUUUGAACUACUUGUGCUAGUAGAAAUGCUUUCCUAUUAAACCUGGAGCAAUUGUGAUGUGAUCAUAUUCAUUUAAGCUACUAUUGCGGUCAUUGUAGUUUAUAAAUUAGUGGUUGAACCAUAAACAUAUAAAUUAUUUGAUAAAUGAUUGUUGAUUUCAUGGGUAAAUUGAGUAUGCUAAAGCUGGAUUUGAUUUACUAAGAAUUAUUGAAACUGUUUUGGAAUUGCAAAUACUUUUCUGAUCUGGCUUGUAAGCAUUUCUCCAUUGUUUUGGGCUGAACAGAUCUUAAAAUAUUUUUCAAUCUGUUUGUGAGUGCAUAAGAAAUUUUUGUUUGACAUCUUAUGACAUGAUCUUUUGAUACCUGGUACCCAUUUAAGGGGGAGAUAUAUAAGGCUGUUAGAUAUCUGGUUAUUCAUCUAUACUUUGGUAUUUCAUCAUGUAUUUGCCUCUCAUUUUAUCAAAGUUUAAAUUUUAUAAAUUGCAUCUCUCUUUUGAUGAGGGUGAGAGCCAUUUAAGGGAAUAUCUUUACCCUAUGAUCUUAGAAGACAUUUUAUGAAUGAUAGAUGUGUUUUAGGUUGAAAAUUUGGCCCAAAUUUGUGUUUUUCGAAAAUUAACGUAAAUAAUCGAUUACCAAGGGAUGAUAAUCGAUUAUCUAGGCCUAAAAAUUUAGAUUUUGACAAUUUUGAACACAAAUAAUCGAUUAUUUAAAGUAAUAAUCGAUUAUCAACGUAAAAAAAAAAACUUUUUAAUUUUUUUUUUGUUUUUCUUUUAAAAGGGGAUUAUUACAUUUAGGAGGAGUAAAGUUACUUAUUUUAUGAGGAGCAUAAACUUUAGAUUUUUUUUAAAAAGAGGGGGUGAAGCUUUUUGAUUGAGAACUUUUGUGAUAACUGGAAGAUAUGAGUCUUGCGCUGAAACCUCACCUUAAUCAAAUUUAUGAAUGGCAGCAAGCUCAUGAAAGUUAUAUGGUUGAUCAAUUUCUUGAUCUUGAUGUUCGCGUAUCUAACAUUGAGAGUCAUCUCAAUAUCCUACCUACUGAAAGAUCCCCUACUCCUGAAUUCUAGGGUUUAGGCCACUAAGAUUUUUUGUUGUGUUAUAUUCUUUGUGUUAUUUAAUAUUGAUCUUUAUGAAUUUCAUGUAAUUCCUUUCCGUUCUUAAUGAAAUGAGCUUUUAUGUCAAUUUUAUGCAUAUAUUAUAUAAUUGAGGGGGAGCUCAUAUUAAGGGUAAGAUUUUUACAUUAUUCUUUUUUCCUAUGAUCAAAAAAGGGGGAGAAAAAAUAUAAGGGGAGAAUUAAGGGGAGAAAUAUUUUACAAUUGUACAGGUACUACUAACUUUGUGGUCGUCUAUUAGCUUGUAUGUGUUGUAGGUAAACUUGAGUUGCUUUUAAAAGUGAACUUUUGAUCAUCAUCAAAAAGGGGGAGAUUGUUACUAAUUAGGAGCAUUGGUAAAACCUGAAGAAUUGUUUUGAUGAUGCUGCAAGAAGUAUUAUUUAAAGAGAACAUUAGAUUUAUUUAAAAAGCAACUUGUAGAAUUUGGAUGUAGUAGGAAAAUCUCAAACCUUGUAUUUUUAACUUGAAUAAUCGAUUAUGGACAAGCUAUAAUCGAUUAUCACUAGCAUUUUGUACUAGAAUAAUAGAUUAUCAUGAAGCAAUAAUCGAUUAUCACAAGUCAUACUUGAAUAAUCGAUUAUCACUUCAUAUAAUCGAUUAUCAUUUUUUGAAAACUCUGUAACGGACUUGAAUAAUCGAUUAUCACUUACAAUAAUCGAUUAUUCAUGGUAGUUGAGAGAUGACCUUUGGCAUUCAGUGUACUUGGCUAUAUAAUUGGUUUCUGUAAUCUUCAGAAGCAACGUUUUUUAACUGAGAAAGCUUAGUAGAACACUGUUUGCCAGAGGAAAGUUCUCAGAAGCUUUGUUCAUAGUUCCCUUGCUUGGUCUCGUGAAAGGAGAGGCCUGCGUAUCGUGUGUCGAUAGUCGGAGCAGACUCUCUUCGAAUUAGCAAGGUGCUCUGCCUGGUCUUGUGAAAGGAGAAGCUCGCGAAUCGUUGGUCGAUUGCCGGAGCGGUUCUCUUCAAGUUGGUAGAGUGGUCUUCUUCCGGUUCGUUCGUCGAAGGAAGGUUUAUCUAUCUGAUUUUCAUUCACUUAAUUGUAAUCUGAGAAAAAUAUUUUUAGUGAAACUGUUAAUCACUCUUUACAGUGAUUAACGACUGGACGUAGAUUCCCUUGAAUCGAACCAGUAUAAAAAUACUCGUGUGAUUUUUCUAUUCCCUACACUCAUUUUAUUUUACGCAUAUUAACUGUUUGAUAAAUUUUCUGAAAGAAAAUUGUUUUUCGAAAAAAAGACCAAUUUCGUUUUAACUGUGACCGAACACGCUUAUACGCUUACUCUAAGUUUUAUUGCGUUGCGUUAUACUCUUUGAACCAUACCCCUCCGAUGCCAACAGAUGUCCUUCUAGGAGGUUAGGUCAACUAUGAAGACAUUUCAUAUGGUGAGAACUCAAGAUGAGAAGUCUUGUAAAUUUGGCAAAAUGACUUUACAUUCAAUCAAGUUCUAAUGAUUACAAAAGGAUAUCUCUCCUUUUAUAGGUGAAGGAGAAGGCUAGAGUACACACUAGUAAAAAUAUGGAUUUUUAACAUGCCUAUUAUGCUUCAGUUGACAAGAAACCAAAGCAUAAGCUGGCGCGGUGGCAUUUUUGAAAUUUUCGCUAAAACAUAUAUGUCAUGGUUCUAUUUUAACCACGACCAUAAGUGGUAUAUGACCUCGGUUGCCCUCAUAAUCGAGGCCAUAAAGUUUGCAAAAAUUGACAAUAAAAGACUUUUCACCUGCCAAAUAUAUUUGUGCAGAGGAUUUGACCGCGAUUGUCUACAGAACCGAGGCCAAAAACCCCUAGUCCACUGACAAAUGCUCUUUUGCAGCUUGAUCAAAUCACUGUACAUGGGUUUUGGCCUCGGUUGCCCACAAAAGCGAGGCUAAAAACCCCUUGGCCCUACUGACAUUCCCGCCUGCACUCUGACGUUUUAAAUGACUGAUUUUUCUGAAAGGGUAUAUGGCCUCGGUUCUGCAAACCGACGCCAUAGACCCACUUCCUAAUGUCUUUUCAAAUUUCCUGACUUGGUAAAAUAAUUCAAAUAUAUAUAUUUUUUAUUGGUUUUUGACCGCGGUUGGUAGAGAACUAAGGUAAUAAACCUCUUUUGUCGCUUUUGGGUGCGUAACCGAGGUAAAAUGCCUAAUCAAAAUUUUAAAAAUGCCAUUUAGAAUUAAUUUUGAAUAUUUUUCUGGGGACUAUAGACCGCGGUUGUCUGGAGAAGCGAGGUAGUAUCCCCCCUACUACUUGGUUUAGUGUAAAACUAAGGUAGUAGUCCUUGUCCAAGGUAAAAAUUCGCGAAAGCGCAAACAAUUCUUCUUCUCCAGCGAUUUCUCUCUGCAACUUCUUCUUCUUCUACGUCGUUGCGACCUUUCUCCCUUCUUCCUUACGCCACCGUUGCGCCAUCGUCGUCACUGUAGAAGGACUUCCUUCCUCAUUUUUCAUCACCUACGUUUGUAUCCGAUCAAAUUUGGCUUUGGUCAACGAUGUUUUUUCGUUUUUUUUUCAUUUUUGGGUUGGUUUGAUACAUUUUUUUUAUUAAUUCAGAUUAUCAAACUUAUGUUUUGUUGUAUUUUUUCGUAGGUAUUGUUUUUUUUCUUUUAAAUUUGUUUCGUUUCAGACCGUGGGUUUUUCCAUCUUCUCCAUUAUUGUGUGGCUUUUUACGCUCCCAGGUUCGUAUUAUUUUGUUUAUUAAUUUUCAUUUUGUUAAUUUUUAAUUUUUUGUAGGUUGAAUAUGAAUAAUUAUGUAUGAUUGAAUGUUUGAAUUGAUAGUUUGAAUGCUUAUUAAUUGCUUGAUUGUAUGAUUGUAUUAUUCUGUUUAUUAAUUUUCAUUUUGUUAAUUUUUAAUUUUUUGUAUGUUGAAUAUGAAUAAUUAUGUAUGAUUAAAUGUUUGAAUUGAUAAUUUGAAUGUUUAUUAAUUGUUUGAUUGUAUGAUUGAAUUGAUUGUAUGUUGAAUAUAUUGUAUAAUUGUAUGAUUGUAACUUUGUAGAAUAUUUAUGUAUGGGUCGAAAUUGGAUUAAUUUACCACGCAUUAGUACUGAGUACGAGAGAGGGUUAAAGGAAUUUAUACAAUUUGCGCAACGUAAUGAAGUUUAGAUGUCCUUGUGUGAACUGUUUGAAUGCGAGAAAGUUGAACACAACCCAAAUUAGAUAACAUCUUAUCUGUGAUGGUUUCUUAAGAUGCUAUACAACAUGGAUCUGGCACGACGAAGAAAUGCACUUUCCGAUUGACUCCCAAACUGAAAAUGUUAUUGAUUCCACCAUGGAAGAUCGACGGGAUGAAGACAAAUUAAAGGACAUGAUCCGCGAUGUUGGCGUAGAAAAUUUUGCAAAAGCUAAUGUGUAUGAGAUGAUGUCGAUUGAUGCGGAAACACCUUUGUAUGUCGGUUCAACUAAGUUCACACGUUUGUCAGCGGUGUUAAGGCUCAUGAAUUUGAAGUUGACUAAUGGAUGGACUGAUAAGCGUUUCACAGAAUUGUUGACAUUGUUGAAUGAAAUGCUGCUAGAUGGAAAUAGACUACCCACUCGUAAUUAUGAUGCGAAGGAAAUUCUUUGUCCAAUGGGUAUGGAGUAUAAAAGGAUACAUGCUUGUCCCAAUGACUGCAUUUUAUAUAGGAAAGAGUUUGAAUUUUUGACAAAGUGUCCAAAAUGUGGGUUAUCAUGAUACAAGUCAAAAAAUAAUAGUGAAGAUAAUGGUCAGAUAAAAAAAAUGGAUCUGCUUUGAAAGUAGUUUGGUACCUUCCAAUUGUGCCCAAACUUAAGCGUUUGUUUGCAAAUUCAAAAGAUGCUAAAAACCUUAGAUGACAUGCAUAUGAGAGAAAAAUUGGCAGACUGCUUCAUCAUCCAGCUAAUUCAAAGAAAUGGAAAAAUAUUGAUCAAUAAUUCCCCCAAUUUGGUCAAAAUGUAGAAAUCUUAGGCUUGGUUUAACUACUGAUGGAAUGAACCCAUUUGGUAAUCUAAGUACCAAUCGCAGUUAUUGGCCAGUUAUAUUGAUAAUUUAUAACUUAUCUCCUGCAUUGUGCAUGAAGAGGAAGUACAUGAUGUUGUCUAUGAUGAUAUCUGGUCCAAAGCAGCCUGGAAAUGACAUAGAUGUUUAUUUAAGCCCACUAGUUGAAGACUUGAAGUUGUUGUGGGUUGAUGGGGUUGAAAUAUUUGAUGGAUUCGCUUCUAAAACUUUUGUGAUGCGAGUAAUGUUAUUUUGCACCAUUAAUGACUUUCCAGCUUACGGUAAUUUGUCAGGAUACAGUGUCAAGAGUCAUAAAGUAGGUCCUAUAUGUGAAGAAAACACUGCAACUCAUCAAUUGAAACACAGAAGAAAGACGGUGUAUCUGUGUCAUCGGAGAUUUCUAAAAUGUAAUCAUCCAUAUAGAAGGUUAAAAAAAUCAUUCAAUCGAUAUCAAGAGAGGGACGAAACACCAAAUCCACUUAUUGGCCUUCAAAUUUUUGAAAAAGUUAAUAAAAUACAUCAUGUAUGUGGGAAAACAUCCAAUAAGUCAUCUGUAACGACCCCUUGGAAGAAGAAAUCAAUAUUUUUUUUAUUUUCCAUAUUGGUCAAAGUUAGAUGUUAGACAUUGUAUAUAUGUGAUGCAUGUAGAGAAGAAUGUGUGUGAUAGCUUGAUUGGUACACUACUCAACAUUCAAGGAAAGACAAAAGAUGGAAUGAAUGCUCGUUUGGAUUUGGUUGACAUGAAUAUCCGAGAAGAGUUGUCACCUAGGUAGAUUGGUAAACAUACUCAUUUGCCCCCUGCAUGUUACACAAUGUCCAGGCAAGAGAAGAUAAGUUUUUCCCUUUGUUUAAAGAGUAUCAAAGUACCACAAGGAUACUCUUCAAAUAUGAAGAGUUUAGUGUCGAUGCAGGACUUAAAGCUUGUUAGCAUGAAGUCUCACGAUUGUCACGUCUUAAUGCAACAAUUGUUACCUGUGGCUAUUCGUGGAAUUUUGCCUAAAAAUGUUAGACAGACCAUAAACAGGUUGUGUUCAUUUUUCUCGUCAAUAUGUAGUAAAGCCAUCGAUCCUACAAAGUUAGAUGAACUUCAAGGCGUUUGUUAUCAUCUUGUGUCAACUAGAGAUGUUUUUCUCUCCAUCUUUUUUUGACAUCAUGGUACAUUUACUUGUUCAUUUGGUUAAAGAAAUCAAGUUGUGCAGACCGGUAUCCUUAAGAUGGAUGUAUCCUAUUGAGUAUUAUACGAAGAUUUUGAAAGUUAUAUUGCUGAAGAAAGUAUCGAGUUUUGUUCAGAUUACAUGACAUCAAUAUAUCCAAUAGGAGUUCCUCGCAUAUCAUGGUUGAAUAAAUGUUCCACAAGUAAAAACAUCCGAUGUAUGAAUGUGGUGACGAAAGAUCGUGAAAAAUUGUUGCAAGCACAUCCUUAUAUAUUGAUCAACACAUAUGAGGUGAUCCCUUUUUUUCAAGCAUACAAAGCCAUUGUGAAGAUUAAAAAUCCAAGACAAUAAAAGAAAUGGCAGUUGAUGGAGCUUAACAAAACAUUUAUGUCUUGGUUCAAAUCUAAAAUUGACAAAGAGCCACAUUCUUCUCAGACUUUGUUGUGGCUUGCAAAUGGUUUAAAGUUUGAUGUCGUAUGUUGUACAAGUUUUGAAGUCAAUUCCUGCACAUUCUAUAAGAAGACUUUGAAUUAUAUAACCACAGUACAAAAUAGUGGAGUCAGUUUAGAAGCUGAGUCGCUUCAAUUUUUCACAUCAAAAUAUCAAACUCCUGUACUUGGACCAAUGAGAUAUUAUGGUAUAAUAGAAGAGAUAUGAGAGGUUGAUUACACCAACUUUUUUGUUCCAUUGUUCGAAUAUAAGUGGUUUAACAAUAAGAGUGGUGUGGAAAUAGAUGAAUCAGGUAUGACACUAGUUGAUUUUCGAAAGGUGGGUUAUCGAGACGAACCAUUUAUCAUGGUACAUCAAGCAUCUCAGGUAUGUCGCUCUUCAAGGCAAAAAACAAAUUGAAGUUAAUGAAGAUAAUCUGAUUAAUAUUCAUAUUCCUGACAACCAUUCAUUUCAAACUACGACAAAUUUGAAUGACCAACCUCUAAUUGACGAUGUACAUGCAAUUCAGUCAGAUCAUAAUGAGGGAAUAUACAUAUGAAUAAUCCAUACCUUUAUGUAUGAAUUUCAAAUUUGUGUAUAAGUUUUUUAUUAAUAUUACAUAAAUUUGUUAUUAAUAUUUCAUAUGACUAUUAUUACAUGUUUUGUUAAAUUAUAUGAUAUUACAUAAGUCUUUUAUUAAUAUUACAUGUUAUUUAUUUUGACAGUAAAAAGCUUGCAUGGAUUGCUCUCAAGUUUUGACAUAUGCUAAAGCCAUACUUUCUUAUAGUUGUUUUGUUAUAAUGAUUUUCACUAACUAUUUACAACUGUAAUGAUAUAUUGUAGUGUAAUAGACAGAGUGAGUCAUAUGAGUGUGAAUACUACGUAAUGUAUUAAAUGACCUACAUUAUUCGUGCCCAUAUCACAAGAGGCUAGGAAACAGUAAUAUUUAAAUUUAAUGAAUCUUGAUUUUCUCUAACAUUUGGAAUUCAUAUACACUAAUUAAUAUCAAUUGUCUUGUGCAAAGAUUCAAGACUACUACUCCAAUUCCUGAGAAGCCACUUACAUUCUUGAGGAAGGCAAUUGCAAAACAUUUAGUUAGAUUAUAUAAUAGUUCAUAGUUAUUAGAUUUAAAAUACAUUAGAACAUGUUGAUUUAUAGUUAUUAGACUUUGUACAUUAUGUGAUGUAAAUAUUGACUAUUGUGUUGAAUUUGUUGAAUCUGUGUUGAUAUGAAAUUGUUUGAUAUGCAGGUCUGUUUUUGUAACAGUGGAUAUCACAAAAACAGACCUGAUAUUAAAAAAAGUUGUAGGAGAAUAGGCCGUGGUUGUGGCCAAAACUCAAGUAGAAAGCCUACCUAUGGCCUCGGUUCAGCCACAACCGAAGCCAUAGGGUGCACGUUAUUUAAAAAAAAAAAUAGGGCUUUGGCCACAUUUCAAGCUAGAACCAUUGUCAUAUCCAUACAUUAUUACCUCGGUUCAACUGAGAUAAUAACCCCUCCCCCCCUCCUUUUUUUUUCUCUUCUUUACUACUUCGGUUGCUGAAGAACCGAGGCAAUAUCCUUCAGGAUAUUCCCUCGGUUGGAACCGCUACCAAAAGUCCCAAAACUUUUUACUUCGCCUGUAUAUGCCGCGGUUCAAAAGCCGAAGCGUAUAUUCAAAAGCAACCAUGGUCGUUUCCCAUCACUGCACUAGUGUCAUGUAAUAUUUAAGAGUCUUUCCUUCACUUAAUGAGGAGCCUCAUUAUUAAAUGAGGAGCCUAAGCAUUAAAUAAGAAGUCUAAGCAUGAAAUGAGGAGCCUAUAUAUAUUAAAUGUGAGGAGCCUUAUGCUUUGUAACUAACUUAGUCAAAUGAUUUAAUGCAAAUGCUUCUUGCAACUAACUCCUUCCAAACCCAUUUUUAACUCAUUUUAGGUGUUACCUUCCAACUAAGGACCUAAUGGUGUGUCAGCUCUCUCUUAAGCUACCAAGCCUUUUAAAUAAAGUUAAACAAAGUGUGUUGGUCAAAUACAAGGCCUAAAAUUAAACUAUAUUACAUAUUUACAAAAAGUAUUUAAGAUAAAGAACAAAACUAAAUUGUGAUCUUUCACAAGAAUAAAAUCCUUGAAGCUCCAUCUUCUUCUUCCAUCUUCUUUGACCAUGGCUCUUUAUGAGAGGUCCAAUGUCUUCUAAGGCUUGAGGGAAAGCAAUAACAAGCUUGACGAUCAUUCUUCUUCUUCCAAUCUUUUAGCUUUAAUUUACCUUGAUGUUGUCUUCAUGGAUCUCCACUUAGUUCCCAAAACGGAUUCUAUCAUAUACACACUGUAACACACCAGAAAACGAUGUAGCCCCAGAAUUAGCCAUAUGACAAAACAAUAAGUUUAAACUAUGAUAACCACAUGCAAUAUAAAAUUAUUUAGAAUUAACAUUAAGAUAUUUUUUUUCACACCUGAUGACGGUUUAAAACACUGUUAUUUACUAUGCGAUUUUGAUACUAAAGGCACCCUUUUGACUUAAAAACUUGCUUGAACUCAAAUGUUUUCAAUAAAUUGUGUGAAUAAGAGAGUUAAGGUUGAUUUUAACUGUUUUCUAACAAAUUCCCCUUGUUUUAACAGAGAUUGAAGCAAUAAUGGAAGAAGAAGUGAAAAGCCAUGAAGAUGGAACUCAAAGAGGGUCAAAAAGGCACCAAGAAGGGAGAAAACCCGAAGCCCAGGCGAGCACCAGGCGAUAGGAGUGCAAAAUUUGCGAGAGAAAAAUCAUUGUCCUCGCCCGGGCGACGUACCCGACGCCCGGGCGACGGACGUUCAUAGCUCAGGCGCCCAAAACUGGCGCCCAAGCCUUAGCCUUGAUUCAUGUAACGCCCCUUGCCGGGGCGUUACAAUUCAUGCUCGGGCGAGCUCCCUGAGACGCUUGAGCGUGAUUUGACGUGGAUUGGGCCUUGUUUCUGCUUUGAUUUGAUUCUUUUGGACCGGGCCACACUUUGGGACACUUCUGACAUUAUUUAAAGGACCCUGGGGCUCUAGGUUUUGCAUCCCUGGCAGAAGCAAGCAUAGCAAUACACUCCUAGCCAAAUUCUUAGCCUUUCCAUUAUUUCUUUCUUCCAUUGUUGAUUGGGUUCCACCAUGUUUAUGGGGAACUAAAAUCUAUUUGUUGUUGGGGAAUGAUGUAGCCUUGUGAACUCUCAUAUAUUUGAAUUUGUUCUUAAUUCUAUAUACUUUAUUUCAUUAAUUGUUAGAGUAAUUUAUCUAUUCUUAUUGCUUGCUUAUACAAUAACAUGAUCUGUGAGUUGCAUAAGUGUCGGGAGGUUCCUUACAAUUCAGGUCCUUGUUAAAUUACUCCUAAGGGUUAUAUUGCUCAGGGAUAAGGGUAUGAGUCUUAGUCGUCUUAACCUCUUGAUCUUCACAUCUUUUUACCAGGAAUGCUAGGAAUUGUAUGAACUGGUAAUUAGGGAUAGGCUUAUUGACCGAGGGAUCGGGUUUAAGUAUUUUAGUGAGGGACGUUAGCAUUAAUGAAUAAAGAAGAAUUCUUAUAUACAUGAGAAGGAACUUGGUGAAGUCUAACCCCAACAACAUAUUCAUCUCAUAUUAAUCAAUCUCCAUUCAUCUCUAUGCUCUUUUGCCAUUGAUCACUUUUACUUUGCUUUAUUUUAUUUUCUUUUCAAAACAAACCAUGAUCUCUUUUUAUUUUUAAGUCUUAAUUAAUCUUGUUUUCACAAAACUGUUCAACGCCAAGAGUCCCCUGGGAUACGAUACUUGAUCUUACCAUUUUAUAUUACUUGUGUGACUCGGUACACUUGUCGAUUUGCCCUAACAACACCUUAACUUUUUCCUUUCAUAUAACAUCAUCAUAUCUUGUCCUUUAAGGUCGUUGAUAUCAAAUCCAACUUUUGUUUAUUUCAUCUAUAGUAGAAUUAAAAAUAUAUUUUCCUCUUGUAUAAUCUAUGUUUAAAAAUUAUAAAAAAUACUCAUUAACUUGUAUUGAAGUUGAUGAAAUAUCUACACAUUAUAGUACAAAAGAAAUAUGCUCUUUAUGACUUAUAUCUAGAGUAUGGUAAAGUAUGAUUGAAUAAUAUUGUUAGAAAUAAAGUGCCUUGUUUCUCAAUACCAAAAGGGGGGAGGGGUGAAUUGGUGAUUUAUAAAAACGAAUGCUUUUCAAAUCUUUUUGGAAAUUUAGAAUGUUCUUUAAACUUUCUUGUGUUGUAAGUAAAAUGCGUAUGCAGUGAAAGUAAAAGAGAUAAUGAAAGAGAUAUAAAUAGCAGAUUUCUACUGGUUUGACCUCAAUGCCUACAUCUAGUUUCUCUUCCAAUCAACCUUAGGUUGAAGGAUCUUUCACUAUAACGAUUUGAGUUUUACACCAAAGGUUUUACAGAGCUCUCUCAAAUGUAAACACCUUUCUUACUCAACAAUCAAAUAUAGAAAGAAAACACCUGCACAAAGAACUACACAUCUUCACUACAGAGCCCUUUGAGAACACCUCUCAAAGUCCAAGAACUCCUCGUUCUUCUUCUUGUCACGCACCAACAGGGAAGCACAAUCAACUAUUGCAGAAUAUACGUUUUUGAUCAAUGUAGAAACAUCUCAGCAGUGUAGAUAGUGAUCAGUCUAUUUGUCCUCAAUGCUUCUCUCAAGAAUCCUUCAAGUUUCUUCCAAUUCUUUAAAUCUUGAUUCUUGGAGCGUCUCAACAACAUGUAAUAAUUUUCUUUAAUCAAAGAUAUCAAAUAUGAAAGUGUAUAAAAUGAUCAAUCUAUUACAGAGUUACAUGUAAUGCGUCAAUUUAUAGUUUUAAUCAUGACAAACGCAAAAUACGUUAGUAAUGUAAUCAGUUACAUUAAAGUCAGAUGUAAUAGAAUUACAACUAACAUAGUUCUAAUUGAAUGCACAAUUAAUGUAAUCGUUUUGCAUUAAAUACUAGUCAAACAUAUUUAAAAAUAUGACCGUCUUGAAAAUAGUUUUCAAAGAUUAACAGACUUAAUUGAUUACAUAAACAGUAUAAUCGAUUAAGCUUUUUGUUUAAACAGAUUUUUGAAAACUUUUUCUCUUUAAAACUCAUCACAACAUAUUUUAACAAGAUGUUUUCAAAGACAUGAGUUUUAAUCGAUUUAAUACUUAAUGUAAUGGAUUCAAAACUUGUUGUUUUUCCAUAAUUUUUUGAUUAUGUGAUGUAGAGUUGCUUUUGUGCUUGUGGUUUUAAUACACAAAAACAUCGAGUAUGCAUACAGAGAUAUAAACACAUCAUGAUCACAGUAGUAUGCAGACUAAACAGUAUAUCAACAUAUGUAUUAAUCAUCGAUAAAUAUUUACAUAGCCACAUAUGUAUCAAUCACAAAUACAUAUUUCUGUUAUAUCAUGAAAACAUUUAUGUGUUGUUACAAUCAAUGUGUUGUCAUCAUCAAAAACCAAACGCAUCAGGGAUUGGGUUAAAUAGACACAUAGUCGCAGAUAUAUGUCAUCCAAAUUCAACUAUCUCUCCUCCUUUAGGCAUUAGCAAAAAAAGAAUUAUUGCAUAAUGUAUAAUUGAAACACAAAGACAGUGAUUCAAACAGAGAUACAUCAAAAAAUAUUGUCAUCAAGAUGCUCCCCCUGUCAAUAAUAUGCAAUUCACAUGAUUUCAAUUUCUUCCCCUUUUACAUGUGAACAAUUAUGUAUUAGAACAUUAAGCUCCCCCUAUCAAUGUGCAUUAUUUCUAAGCAUAUUGCAAACAAACAGUUCAAUAUCAGAGCAUGUAUCAUAAAGAUAGUUCCAAGCAACGUACCAAAUGAUAUGACAUAUAUCAAAGAAAUGCAGAUAUUGCUUGAAGCUAAUACAAUUGUGUGUUACCAUUCAUAAACUCAAAAAGAUUCAUAGCGGAUGAUAAACAAUGAGAUUUAUAAUGAAUGAACACAUGUAAGAUCAAAAUAAAUUAUUCAAAGUAAAUGAUUUAGAAGUAAGAAGUUUCAAACCAGAUUCGCGAAAAAUAAUCGAUUAUACUUCUCCUUUAAUUGAUUCAGUUCAGUAGGGAAUUUGAAAAUUCCAUUUCAAACCAGUGAUUAGUUUUAAUCAGUAUCAGACCUGCAUAAACUUUCUUCUCAACUUGGUUGAGGGUUAGUCUAGAUAAAGUAUAGUUGUGAAAUAAACUAGUAUCACAAACUUAGUAUGAAUAUGCAAAAGAUUUAUGUAAUAAUGAAUGGUUCCUUUGCAUUCAAACAACAAAUAUACUAAGAUUCAAUCAACAUCCAAAAUAAUCAAUAGAUUGAACUUCAAAAUAUAAUUUGAUUUCAAUUAAACCAACCCAAAAGUACAAUUAGAUUCAAAAAUGGCUUAAACAACCACUUCUUACAAAAAAAAAUCAUUAAAGAAAAACUCAAACAAUCAUAACUAGGAACCUAAACCUCCUACUCUGAGUCUAAUAUCUCUAUGAAUUCUUAGUCUGACUUGUCCUCUUUACUUCCCGAUUCGUCUUCAGAAGUUCCUCCAAAGGCACUAAUUUUUAAUGCAUAGUCCAGUUUCCUGUGCAUACUAGAAAGAGAUUUUUGCAGCUUAGACAACUUGUCAUCUUGUCCCUUAAAUUUAUCAACCACAAACUUUUCAAACUCUGAUUGAGGUUUGAAGUGAUACUUGGACUUAUCAACACCAAUAGGUUCAACUUCCUCUACUUCAGGAAGAUGUUCAUCUUUGAAAGACCAUUCUUUUUCAUCUCUUCUUAAACCGAUAUGAUGUAAGGACAACUUUUCAAUCAUAUUCUUCUUUGAGCAGCUUAAGGUAACUUCAUUUGAAACAUUCAAUCCAUGAUGCCUCAAAAGUCUACUAAUAAAGACAACAUAUGGAAGAUGAUAUACUUGCUGCCUAGUGAUCUUAGUUAUAUGAUCACCUACCACAUAUGUCCAGUCUGUUGGUAUUUUGGCUCGUAAAGCAUGUAGCAGAUAUACAUCUUCAAUAGUAAGUUGCGCAUGAUUUCCACCCUUUGGCAAUAAAAUCCAGGCAAUCACAAAUGAACAGAGAAAUUCAUUCUUUUUCAGACUACCAACCCUUUAAAGAGUGUGGUCUCUUAGCUCUUCAUGAUUUCUCAAACAAUCCUUUAAAUUGCCAUCUUGUUAAUGCCAGAUAUCCCUUGAUGAGACUUCAAACCAAUAGGAUCAAACACUACAAUUGUUUUCGAAACAACAUCAUCAAUGCAUAUGUCUACGCCUUUUUCUUGAGAAAGAAUGUGGCUGCCUUCAACCUUUACGUUUGCAUAAAACACCUUAACCAGGUCAGGAUAGUAGUUGUUGACAGGGGGAGCACAGUGUUAGCUAAACCCAAUCCCUGUGAUGUUUGUUUUUGAUGAUGACAACACAUUGUUAAUAAAAACAUGUAUAUGUGUACUGUGUUAUGUGUUAUAUGUAUUCAUGCUUAUUGUGAAAUAUGCACAUAUUGUGAUUGUCACAUUUGUAACAUAUUGUUAACUCUCUAUUUUUCUCCAUUUUUCUGUGUUAAUACUCUUCUUUUAGGUUAGUUUGGCUUUUAAUUUUCUAGAAUUAAGGUAGAUUAGUAUAAUUAGAAUAAAAAUAGGUUUUAAAUAGAAACAAUGUUAAUUUUGUCUUUUUUGUUAAAUAAAAUAUGUUUUUUUAAAUAAAUAGAUAUUUUUCCUUUUUAGUAAAAAUAUUCAGAAAAAUAAAUAAAUAUUUUUUAGGCUUUUAUCUUUUCUCUUUGCUGUUUAAAAUCCUAAUUUUUUUUCUGCAGAUUAAGUCUUUGGAAGCAUUGAGUUGAAGGAAAUUGUUUGGGCCAAACUAAAUCUGGUCAAAAGCUGAAACUGCUGGUUGUUUUUGGCUUAAUUAUGAAGCCCAGUGUUUUAAUCUGGAAAUACAUCAUUGUCAUGGGGAUGCACUGAAUUAGGCCGUUUUAAGCUUGAAGCCCCUGCUGGAAACCACUAUUGGAAGCUGAUGAAGAACUGGGCCAAUGUUAUGGACUGAAACCUUAAUGAAAUGAUGCGUAUUAGGAACAUUGAAGCUGCCUUUGGGGUAAGGCUUGAGCUCAUCCAUUUGGGCAAAGCAGAGAGCUCGUAAAGAGGGGUUUUCCCCCAUUCUCUCAAUCCCUAGAGUUAGGGUUCGACAGUGAGGAAGAGAAGAAGCGAUAUGAGCUCUGUAGAUCACUAAGGACGAAGCCCAAAAUGAUGUUGGACUAAACGAAGAUGACCCAAAAGCUGAUCGGACCACAAUGUUGAUCGGACCGAAGCAGUUGACGGUUGAAGAAUGAAGCAGAAUCAGUUGGAGUUAAUCAAGAAGCUUCGAAGUUAGUUAAGGAUUCUUCCCCUUUUCCCUUUUUCCUGAUUCUUCCCUUCUUUCCCUUUUCCUAUUCUUUUUCUGUUUGGAUUUUUCCCUAUAAAAGGGAGGUUUUGUAAAGUGUAAAAACGCAAGUGGUGGGUGACAGACACCACUCUAAACUCUAGACUUUAGGGUUUCCAAUUCUCUGCUUAUAGUUUUAGAUUUUACUGCUUUCUUAUAGUAGAAGAACUUUCUUUACACUGGAAUUCUUGGGGAUGAUCAAUGGGUGGCAGACUUUGAGCUCUCUUGGAUUUCUGGUAUUUGUACUUUUGAUUUCCAGUUUUUAUAAAAGUUUCUCUUUCCAAUUUCUAUUUCAAUUUACGUUUCUCUUUGAACCUUUAAAUUUCCAGCACUGUUAUUGAUUCUUUUACUUUCUCGUAUUGAUCUUGUUCUUUUGAUAUUCAUGUCUGAGUUUGAUAAUGUCUUUUUUAGAAUUGAUGUUUUGAUUUCAUUUCCUAUUGUUUUUAGAGUAGUUUUAUGAUGCUUUUGAUGAUUGCUAUGACACGUUUUUCUGAAUUGUACAAAUACUGGUUUGAUAAAAUAAGUGAGAGUCACCAUUUCAAGUUCUGAAACAUGGAUCAAAGACCCUGAAAUGGGAUUUAUUUUACAAGAUGUCUUCUUGAGAGUGAUUGAGACCUAUUUUAUUAUUUCAAUGUUUGUUAAUUCUGGAAACUCUCUUUAAUUGAAUUCUUUGUAUGCAUUUUUAUCUUACUUAGUUGGUUUGAUAGAAGAAUAGUUUUAGGAUAGUUUCUUCGAUUUUGCUUUAAUAUUGUUGUUUAUCAUUUGAGAUUUCUUUUCAUACUUGGCAUUAUAGUUUCUGAUUAGUAGAAUUAGGAUUUAUCAUGCUCGGUUCUUUCAUAAACAGUUCACUUUCUUAUUUUAGUUUUUACCUUAUUAGGUUUCUUUUUACAUAUUCUUUCUUCAUUGUAUCUGGUUAUUGAUAAUAGGUAUUAGUUUUCCUUUAUUCAUAAAUCAUUUAGAUAGGUUUAAUCAUGCAUUUGUAUUCUGCUUCUUUUAUUUUUAAAAUUCACUUUAUUUUCCCCACCUAGCAAUAGUAAAUAAAUAAAUAGGUUUAAUUCUAUAAUUCUAAACUUGAUUUUGCCAAGUCCUUGGAUUGAUCCCCAGUCAGCUCUAUACUACAUUAGUGGGGACUAGGUUUUAUUGACUUUUGUGCGACAAAAAGCCUUUCAACACAUAUUGUGUUGAUUGAUGCAUACUACUGUGUUUGUAAAGUGAUCAUAUAUGUGUAUGCACAAUAUAUGUUUUGGUGAUAAAAAAACCACAUGCACAAAAGCACAUAUGCAUGAUUUAAUCGAUUAUAGUGUUGUGAUAAUCAAUUAGGGUCAUGAGACAGCUUCAGUUUUAAAUUGUGGUAAAACAAUUAGUUUUGAAUCGAUUACAUCAGUUGGCAAAUCGAUUAAAACUCGCGUGUUUGCAUAUAUCUUUUUCCAAUGUGUUGUGAUGAGUUUUGAAAGAAAAGUUUUCAAAAAUCUGCUAAAUGUUAAAGCUUAAUCGAUUACAUGGUUUAUGUAUUCAAUUAAGUCUGUUAAGAUUUGAAAAUUGAUUUGUGCUUGUCAUAACUGCUAUAAUGGUCAUAUUUUUAAAUAUGUUGACUAAGCAUUUAAUGAGAAUCAAUUACAUUAAUUGAACAUUCAAUUAUGUGCUUUGACUACUGUUGGUUUCUUACAUGUGUUUAAUGUAACCCAUUACAUUAAUAUAGUAAUCAAUUGAUUUACGUCAGAGUUGACAAAAACUAUAUAUUCACGCAUUGUUUGAUUUUCUGUAAGAACAGUUGAGAGCAAUUGAGAAUUACACUUUCAUAUAUGAUUGAUUUUCAUUUGAGAAGUUUUACAGAUUGAUCAAAGGCUACAAGAAUCAAGAAUAAGAAGUUGUUUACAAAUCUUGAAGAAUUCUUGAGAGGCAAACGUGAAUGGAUUGAAGAGACUAGUUGUUCUUCACAACUGAGGUGCUUUCUGUUUGAGCAGGAGAAGAAGACUUACAAUCUUUGAUUUGUUGUUCCCUGUACGUGUGGCGUCUGGAAGAAGAGUGGUGUACUCUUGACUUUGAGAGGGUAUCUCAAAGGGGUUGCUGCGACAGGAACAAGAUAGUUUUGUGUUGGCAAGUUUUGUUGUUCUAUAUUUGAUUGAGAGUUUGUAAGGUGUUUACAUUUGAGAGUUGCUCUGUAAAGCCUUAGUAGUAAUACUUUGAUCAUUAUAGUGAAUUGCUCUCCAAUCUAAGGUUGAUUGGGAGGGUGACGGGAUGUAGGCAUUUAGACCGAACAAGUAUAAAAAUUAAGUUUGAUUUUCUUCUCACUAUCUCUUUACUUAAUCGAUUAUAUUCUGUCAUUGCUUUUACACGUAUACUAUUACAUUGCAUGGAUAUUGCUUAUGACACAAGAAAGGUUUCAAGAACCAUACCAUUUGCGAAAAAGAUUUUAAAAGUUAUAAUUUUUAUAAAACACCAAUUCACUGCCCCCCCCCCCCCUUCCCUUUGGUGUUAAGAAACAAAGCUCAUCAAUUCUAACAGUAGUCUCCCUCCAAUUCUACAAACUUAGAUAAGCCAGAGUACAUUAACCAUUCUUGAAAUGUGAACCCUUCAUUACGAAAGAAUAAAACUACUCAUACACUUAUGCCUUAUUACUUCCUUGAAACCCCAAAAGCAAAAGAAAUCAAUUCGUUUCUCCUCAUCACUAAACCAACCAUUAGGGUUAGCUUCCCUUUCAAUAAGUAUAGGACGUUUAACCUAUCGUGAAGAUGAAGAGGCCAUCACAAAUUUUUUGAAUUUCAGAGAUACUUUAACUCAAAUAGAGUUAAGAGUCAGAGCAAUUAAACAAUUCCAACAAAAAAAGAAGAAGACAAGAACAAGUUUUUAUACAAGACCUAAUUGAUUAGGUUUAACAAUUUGAAUAUUUGAAAGUUUAGAAGUUAGUUCGAACACAUUAAUCGAUUUACUUAGUCUCAAAAUUGAUUACAUUUUAACAUAGUUUUAGACAAAACAAAGAAACACAGAAAGACAAUCUAAUCGAUUUCAUAAUAAUGCAAUCGGUUAAAAGUCGUAAGUACAAUUUUUCAAGAAAUUUUCCAAAGUAGACAAGCAAAUAUCAUUUACACACAUCAAUACACAUUCACAGAUAGAAACAAUGAUGCAUGAAUGCAAGAAUUACUAAUAGAUGUUACCAUAGAAGAUACUCAAGAGAUUUUUGAUAUUUCCUUUGAAAUUUCUCCUUGGGUGUUGUCUACUACUUGUUCAGGUUACUUUCCUGCAAAACUUUCAAAAGGUUUUGUCGCAGGUACACAAAUGAACUUGGGGCCUCUCUUGUUAGUUACAGGAGUUGGUUCUUUAGGAAUCCACUUGAAUUUUCCUCUAGGAACACCAACUUUCCUAUAAUAGCAGUUUCUUACAAUAUGACCAAUGGUAUUACAAUAGAAACAGGUAUUAGAUGCAGGUUUACUCAAAUGAAUAAUUUUUUUUUGAAUUGAUUCUUUCACUUUUAGCUUUAUAACCAAUUCCCUGCCUAUUUAUUGCUCUGCCUUGUGAUCUUAACACAACUCCUAAAUUUAAUCUACCAAUGGUAAAUUUAGCUAGUGUGCUAGUUAGAUAUUCAAUUUUUUCAACAUGAGCAUGAUAUUUUGUACAAUCCUUCUCAUCAAUUUUAAUUUCUGUUUUAGCAUUUGCAGUAGAUUGUAAAGCUUGAUAAAGUUUAUUUUUUAGCCUAUCAUUUUCAUCAACAAGGUUAUUUAUUCUAUAUUCAAAAUCUUUCCUCUCGGAACUUAAUCGAUUAACCUUGUAUUGUAGUUUCAUUGCCUCAGUAUGUAGCUCCUGAAACAUAUCCAAUAGUUGAUCACAUUUAACCUUGAUUGGCUCGUUAUCAAAGUUGUUGUCGCUGCUUUAAGAGCACACUGAUCCAGCCAUGUGAAAUAAAUUUGUCUCUUCUUCUAGACUUUAGUCAUCAUCACUGGAAGAGUCCUCAUCACUGUUUUCCCAGGAAAUGUAUGCUUUCCUAUGCUUAUUCCUUCUUCUGUCUUAAGUGUAUUUCACAUAAGCUUUUUACUUGAUCUUCAAAUUUGGACAAUUAGGCUUGACGUGUCCUUCCUUUCCACACUCAUAGCAUGUGAGAGUUAAAGCUUUUGUAUUUCUUUUUCCUCUUCUAGAAUUCCCAGAAAGUUAGAUACAACAUUCUAUUUUUCAUGAAUCUUGUAAAUUUCUUUACCAUCAUAUUCAUUACUUCUUUCUUUGAGAUAUCUGUAUCAGAAUCUACAUCAGAAUCUGCAUCUGAUUCAUUUCUCCUGGAGGUUUUCUUACUGGUUGCUUUGAGAGCAAUUAACUGUUUCUAUUCAGUCUCUUCCUCUUCUUUCAAUCUUCCAGCUCCUAUUCAUUUUCCCUGAGCUUACCAAAAACUGUAGCCAUAUUCAUAGUUGUUAGAUCUCUUGAUUCAGACAUAGCUGUUACCUUUGGUUGCCAACUUCUAUUGAGAAUUUUCAAGAUCUUUAUAUUGAUUUUUUCUUUCUCAAAGACCUUGUCGAGACCAAUCAAAUAGUUGACAAUGUGAGUGAUUCUUUUCUGCAUAUUAUAGAUAGUCUCUCUAGUCUUCAUUAUAAACAUCUCAUACUCUUGAAUUAGAGAAUUCUUUCUGGCUCUUUUCACUUCAUCGGUCCCUUCAUGAGUCACCUCUAGGACUUUCCACAUUUCCUUAGCGUUCUUGCAUGUUGAUACCCUGAAAAACUCAUCAAUAGUAAGUGUAGAAGAGAUAACAUUUCUAGCUUUUAUAUCAUAUUGAGCUUUGCUGUUUUCCUCUUGACAAGUAGAAGCGACAAAGGAAGUUGCUCAGCUGCCGGUGCCCCAAGGGACGACAUGGACGACACUCGUCCAUGUCUCUUAUAUAUUCUCUCUGAUAUCAGGACACAACUAAUGGCUCGUGGCAUAGUCUUUGAGACAGGCACUAUAGUGCAGGGAGUACAACUAACAGAAGAUGAGGUCAAGGUCACGGUGGAUGAAGUUGUCGAGCCAGAUGAUGUUCUUCUUGUGCCUACAUAUGUGUUUUUAACUGUCGAAGAGGUAUUUAAGUCCUUCGUCGCCUGGCCUAGACAUUUGGUUGGUGAUGUAUCUAACCCCCGGUAAACACUCCUACUAUAUACUUCUCAAUUAUAAUAUUUACUUUUUAUUGACGUCAUAACAUAACCAUUUUUUCAUGUAACAGUAGACAGGUCAAGAGGGAAGUCCUACACCAAAGAAGCCUCACACGACCCUCUUGGUGCGUUAGACGAGCUUGCUAACUUGAUUUCAAAUGCGCCGAUGAUUGUACUUGCAUCAGCAAGAUGUCAGGGAGCUUGCGUUGGGGAGGGAAGAAAUUAAUAUUACACUCAUUCAGUUGUGGAUGAUGUAAGUUUAUGAGAACUUUUUUAUAUAAUUCUUUCUUAUCAAGUUACUUAUAUCACAUCGUUUCUUCAUUUCAGCUAUAUGUUUGAUGUCAAUAACAAGAAGGGGUUCAAUACUGUAUAUGGGUUCAUUGAACCCUCUAUGUCAUGAAAGAAAUAAAUUUGAUGAUAUCCAAACAUACAUCACCAUCUGCUUUGCAGUGGAGAAGGAGAUAUAUUUUCUCCCUUAUAUACUUGGGUAAGUGAAGUUUGUUAACUUUAAAGUUUCAUUUAUUAAUUUUGGUAUAUGACAAUUAAGUUAUUACCAAUUUCAGGUGUCAUUGGCAGCUACUUGUGAUCUCUGCUGUUUGGUUUUGUUCAUUGCACAAGUCUUCUCCCAGCCCUCUUAAACAUGUAGUAGAAUAGUAAGAACCUCAAUGUUUCAACUUUCUUUAUUAUAUAAAUGUAUGCUAAAGCAAUUUUUUUUAUAGUUCCAUUGCAACACAUAUGAUGUUAUCUGGGAGAUCUACUGCUACAGCUAAAAAGCUUGCAUGGGUUCCCCUUAAGGUUUGGUAUUUUAGUCCAUACUUUGUUACAUUUUGUACUAUUUCAAUGAUGUUACUUAACAUUUAAUAAUUAUGAUGAUAUAUUGUAGUGUAAUAGACAAGCGGGGUCAUGUGAAUGUGGUUACUUCGUCAUGUUUUGGAUGAUGACCAUUAUUCGUGCACAUUACACCAGUGGAUGGCACACGGUAAUAUUUAGGUUUGAAUUUUAUUUUCUCUAUAGUUUAGAUUUCAUAUACACUAAUUGAAAUCAUUGCAUUUUAUGCAGAGAUUUAAUGUGAUUGCUCCAAUUCCAAAGAAGACACUUAAACUUGUGAGGAAAGUACUAGUUAAAUAUGUAAUUCAAUUAUAUAAUAGUUUGUAGUAGAUAUUAGGAUAUAGUAAAUUCUAAGUUUAUGCUUUUAAGUUGUUUUAUGCUUUUGUACAUUAUUAUUAGUUUAACUUUUUACAUUAGAUUGAUUUAUGUUUCAAAGUUUAUUUAUAAUUACAUUAGAUUGAUUUAUGCUUCUAAGAAGUUGAUUUAUGAUUACAUAAAAUGUAUUUAUGUUUUAAUAUAAUUUUCAUUCAAAAUAUACGCUUCUGCAUUAUUCUGGAUUGUUAUGGACUGUUCUGGCUGUAAAAUUAUAUGCAGGUCUGUUUCUGCAGUUGGGAAUGUUGGAGAAACAGACCCGUUCUUAAAAAAAAUAGGGGAAUAUGAGUUGUGGCCAUAAUUGAGGCAGAAAACCCCCCUACGGCAUAGGUUCAGGUCCCAACCGAGGCAUAAAGUUUGGCAAAACAAGAAAAAAAAAAAGACCCUACUGCCUCGGCUCAGGUCCCAACCAAGGCAGUAGAGGUGGACUUACUGCCUCGGUUCAGAGGGAACCAAGACAUAAAGUCCUGCGAAAAAAAUUAAAAAAAAAAAAGUCAUACUGCAUCGGUUGACUUUGAACUGAGGCAAAAUCGUCCACCUUUUUGCCUCGGUCAUAACCGAGACUUUUUUGCCUCGCUUGUAUAUGUCUCGGUUCAGGAACUGCUGCCAAAGGGCGAAAAUAACCGUUGUCAUUUCCCCUUACUGCACUAGUGGUUAUGUUGAUGUUACCUACUAAAAAAAAUUAUCAACUAAUUUUAUACAUUAUGCCCAAGGUAUUAACUACUGGCUUGCUAUCCCUCGCCUCCCCUUAACCCGAUCCCUCGACGAAAAGGGCCUAAUAUUAACUACUGGCUUGCUAUCCCUAGCCUCCCCUAGUAAUUAAUACUGCAUUAUAAACAGAAGUUAGUGCAAUUGAUCAUCCUACCCCUAUCCUUAGGUGGUAUUGCAAAAUCAAGAGAUUACUCACCAGUUCAUGUCAUUAAUGUACGUCCCCAUAUCAAUAAAGACAAACAUCAAUAUACCGAAUGAGUUAAACGAUAAAGGCCUUAAGCACAGAUGAUAACCCAACAAUAAUCAAUCGAAACAUAUGAAGACCAUAUAAAUAAUCAAUAGUUUCAAUAAGAGAGAGUAUCAAAAGAUUACAUUGUUUUCCCCAACAACAAUAGGGUUUAGUUCACCAUAGACAUGGUGAAACUAGAUGAAAAAUGGAAGAAGAAUGGAAGAACAAACCCUAGAAAAGAUGAAAAGGAGCCUAAGCAUCCAAGAGAUCCUCUCCAGAGAGCAAAAUUAGGUUUGGUCGUUCUUCCCUGUCAAAAGAAUGACUCUGAAUUCGUAGUAGGGGUAUAUACAGGUGAGGAGCGCGUCAAAAUCAGGCCCAAGUCCAGCGAGCCACCGCCGGGCGGUUUAAGUGUGUCGCCCGGCGGUUUCCCAUAACCUGCCGCCACUGCCCGGCGGCAAUCGCCACCGCCCGGCGGUUUCCCUCAAAUCCGUCCAGCGUCAACGCCAUGCCUUCUCAUCGUCCUGGACCGCCCGGCGGUUUAAGUGUGCCGCCGGGCGGUGCUUCGACUCUUCAAAUCUUCAUUUUUCUGCUCUUUUCUUGAGUCAACGACCUGUAUCUCAACUCCAUUCUUUACUUUUCUCAAAUUAGCUACAAAACAAUGCAAAACAAGCAUAAAAUCGCUAAAAACAGCUUUUGACUCUCUUCAAACUCAUUUAUUGAGUUUUGCUUGAUUCUAAGCUCAUUCCGAGUAGUAAAGGGUGUAAUUUGGUCCAAAUUGACAUAUGAAAAUCAUUGUUUUCAACCUUCAUCAAUAUCAAGCAAAACUUUAUAAAGAAUACAUCGUCUGAUAAGUGACAACCAAAACACUUUAGCCUUGAGAAAAAAAUCUUAUGUUUAAAUCAUCUUAUGAAUAUACAUUUUCUUACAAAAUGAUGAAUUUAUAAAUGAAAUGAAAAAUGAUAAAAUGUCUUAAACAUGCCACACUACUUAACGCUUAUCAAUGUCGAAAAUAUUUAAUGAAUGUAUGGAAAAGUACUUUGAUGCUUGUAAACUUUAUUUCUUGAUAUUUGUGCAGAUAAAUAAAGCGAAAAGAUAUGAUUAGAAUCAUGGAAUCCAAGAAAAAGACGUUGUGAGAAAAUAAGAACAUUAUAGGAAUGUGUCCUUGAAAACCAUAUGCCCUAUCACAUCGUACAAGCUCAAGUUUCGCUUAAGUCUAUAAGAAAAAGCUCUAUUGUUUUACAGUGUAGACUUGAGCCUAACCAAACUACUAGAAAAGUCUAUUAAGCCUAUCUUGAUGGUCAACUCAAUAUCCAACGGUCAUCUCACGAAGUAAUAUAUAAAGAAGAUCAACCCAAGAGAAAGUAGUUGUUGAAAAAUGUAGAGGAGAGAAGAGGUGAAAAAGAAAAAGUGAAAAGUAAAAUGAAGAAAUAUAUUCAAGAAUGAUCUACUCUUCUUCACCUUAGUGCAUAUAAAGUGUGAUGAUCUUCAAAUCAAGAAAUAUGAUGAAGAUGUGAAAAUUUGAAGAAGAAAUGAAAACAAAAUAAGAGAUGAGAAAGAAAGGAAAAGAGUACACACAAAGGAGAUCAUAACGAUUCAACUCUAAUUUAUCUCAACUUUUAUACUGUUUGAUGAUUUUUACAUUAAAAGUUGAUGAUGAAAGCAAACUUGAGCAAAAGAAAAUAUAAAUAAAAAGCUAUGAUAUAUAGCUUACUAUUACAUCUCCAAACUUGCAACGUUUGAAGCUUUUGGAACGAAGAAAAAAGUAGAAGUUGAAGGAGAAAUAAGAAAAGAAGAAAGGGGUAAGUAUCAGAAAUAUGGCUACACUACUACAUACAAGCAUACAUCGUCUGAUGCUCCUCAGCUCAAAGGAACAACCUCAUUAGUUACCAAACUACACUUUAAUACUUUUAUCCUUUUGUAGAGAGUUACUCAAGUAUGUAACUAAACAAGAUUUCAUAUUGUAUUGUAUUGAAAAUCUAUCCUCUCAUUAAGAGCUUCUAAUCUAUAUCUUGUAAGAAUCCCACAUUGGAUUUGCUAUAAAUUCUAGACCUAGUUUAGCCACUUAACCAGGAGUGGGUAACUUGGUCUAGAUAGUUGUCUAGGGAUAGAUCUUGAAUAGGAUAAACUUGGACUAGACAUGUUUUCUAGGGGACUAGGAAUAAUGUAAGAAUACUUGUAACUAGGAGUGGGUAAACUCGAUCUAGACAGUUGUCUAGGAAUUGAUCCUGAAGAGGCUAAACUCGAACUAUACGUGUUAUCUAGGGGACCAAAAGUGGUGUAAUAAUACUUACAACUAGGAAUGGGUUAAAUUCGUUUAAUCUUGACAAGAUUAAUGAACCCCUUAAGAGUACUUAAGGAAAAACUGGAUGUAACUCAAGAUUGAGUGAACUAGUAUAAAAAUUAUGCCUUGGUACUUUCUUCUUAAAAAUUGUUGUUAUGUUUCGAUGUUAUCUUCUGAAAGAAUUUUUAUUUACUUAUCUUAUAAAUCGAUCUUCUAAACAUAGUUCAAUUUCAUAUGUUUUCAUUAUAAGUCAUCAAAGGUUGCUUUGUUGAGAACAAUAUUCACCCGCCUCUAGAGUUCUCUUAUGUACUUCAAGUACAUGAGCAUGAGCUUCAACUACAUAGAAUUAUUAAAAAAGAAAAGAACAUAGUGAUAAAGGCUCAAAAAUAUAUAAUAAGGACUUCCACACAAAUAGAAGAACCUUAAGGAGAGUCCACUAGUGAAGAAGACUCCAUAGAACAAGGAGAAGAAGAUGAAUUAUCAUUUAUCUCCAUGAAUAUCUACUCUAUGUGGAAAAAGAAGAAAGGAAAACAUCAUGGAUCAACUUUUAAGAAUGAUCAUCAAACAAUAUAUCAGUUUUGAAUCCCUAGGUCUUCUUUUUUUCCUUGAUCUUUUUCCACAAUCAAUCUGUUGAGCUCAGGCUCAUGGAGCUUUCCAAACAAUAUUGCCAUGGACAUUGAGGAUAAGUUUUGUGACGGUAAGAUUGCGGUCACCUUGGGCUGCCAAGACCUGUCCAAAGACUUUAAGAUUUUAACAUUCGGUUCAUCAGUAUCAAAGUUCUUACCCAAUCCUGUGAGGUGGUUGACGAUAUGAGUGAAGCGCUUUUUCUCGUUUGCUAUGGUUUCUCUAGGAUUCAUUCUGAAUAUUUUGUACUCCUGAAUCAAAGUAUUUUUCCUUGCAUGCUUUACAUCAUUUGUACCUUCAUGAGUGACCCUGAGAACUUCCCACAUUUCCUGAGUUGUCUUACAAACUGAAAUUCUAUAAAAUUCAUCAAGCACAACAGUAGAAGAAAUAAUAUUUCUAGCUUUUAUAUCAAAUUGUGCUCUUUUAUUUUCCUCCACGAUCCAAGGCAAAUAAGGUUUUUCUUGUUUAACACCAUCAACAAUUCUAGUUGGGAUAAAAAGACCAUGUUCAACUGCUUCCCAAAUGCCUUCAUCAACAGAUCCCAUAAAGAAUUGCAUUCUGACUUUCCAGAAAGAAUAAUUAUCACCAGUAUAAAGUGGUGGUAUGUUGAUGGAAGCACCUUUAGCAUAUAUUUGGUUAUGACCGACCAUUUUUGUAAAGUUUGAAAAACUAUCAAAGCAAGCUCUGAUACCAAUUGUUGAUAUUGGUAUCGCGCAACGGAACGUUUUAGAGAGCGUGUAAACUGGACAAUAACCACUAGGAGAGGGGUGAAUUGGUUCUUUUUAAAUUUUGGUUUUCUUUUAGAACUUUUAUCGAAUAGUUUAUAAAUAAAAGGAUGAAGGGAUAGAGAAAAUCACACAAAUGAUUUUAUCCUGGUUCGAAUCAAAAGAUUCUACUUCUAGUCGUUAAUCACUAUAAAUGAUUGAUUAACUUUUCACUAGAAAUUAGUUUCAGAUUACAAUCAGUAUGAUACAAUAAUUAAGAACAAAAUACACCUUCCUUCGACACACGCUAGAAUGAAUACCAACUCAUUCAACUUGCAGAGAAUUGUUUGCACCUUUAGACACAUUAACCGCAAGCUUCUCCUUCCUCAAGACUUGAUUAAGCUCACACUUAAACUAGAGAACUUCCUUAGAACAAAUUUGUGCUCACAAAUGGUUUAGGUAACCUAUAAAAGGUUUAGGAGGGUUCUAUAUAUAGGUCAGGGGUCAGAAAAUGAAAAAACAGCUCCCAACUACUAGUGAUAAUCGAUUGUCACAAGUGAUAAUCGAUUAUUUCAAGCUGCUAUGGGUUUUGGAAAAUGUGAUAAUUGAUUAUCCUUAGUGAUAAUUGAUUAUUGUUGAACCCUGGACAAUAUCAAAACUUGCGAUGAAAAUCGAUUAUCCCCUAUGAUAAUAGAUUAUUGCUGCAAGAAUCACUAGGUUAUGUAAGUGUUUUACAAUUUAAAAAUAACUCUUAUACAAGUGCUUUCUAUAAUGAAUGCUUUUAACAUUUAAAGUAUUGGAUUCUUCAAGUUUUCAAGUCUUCAAGUAUAUCAUCAUCAAAAUCACUUUAAAGCAUCAAUGCUUCUCAUUGGUAACAAAGAAGUGAUCAAAAUUUUAGAAGUUGGUAUGAGUAACCCAAUUUUUAAUAGUCCAUGGGUAAGUCAAGUCCAAGUUAUUCCCAAAAAAAAGGAGAGAUGAGAAUAAUUUGCAAUGAAAAGUAUGAGUUAACUCCCUCUAGAACUAUUAUGGAUGAAGGAUGUGCAUUGACUAUAGAAAACUCAACCAUGCUUCAAGAAAAGAUUAUUUCCCACUUCCAUUUGUAGAUCAAAUACUAGAAAGAUUGGUUGGACAAAAAUAUUAUUGUUUCCUUUAUGGACAUUAUGGCUAUAACCAAAUAGUUGUGCAUCCUCAAGAUCAAGAGAAGACAACAUUUCCUUGUCAAUUUGGUGUCUACAUAUAUAAAACAAUUCCUUUUGGACUAUGCAAUCUCCAGUCAUGUUUCAAUUGUUGGUAUAAACUUAAAUUUUAGGGUUUUAUUAAUAAUUUUGUUUAAAUCUUAUUUUAUUAGUUUUAGGUCUAGUAAUAUUUAGUUUGAUUUUGAUAGAGAUAAAAUAGGGAUAUGUUGUUAUGAUUUUCUGUUUAUCUAGGUACAAUAUUAUUUUAUGAUAGAUUAAGCAGAUUUUAUUUUUAAGAUAGUUGAUAUUUUAUUUUUAUUUCCCGUAAUAUUGUAUGUGCUACGGCUAUUUAAAGCCCUUCAAUUAUCAAUGAAUUGUAGACUCAAUUUUAGGAAAAUAUUUGAGUAUGUAUAACGUGAGAUUUUCUUAACAUCAACGAUGUAUGUUGGUCAUUUCUUCUGAUUUAGUUAAGAAAAACAUUAAGGUCUACAUGGAUGACUUUUUUGUUUAUGGUAAGUCAUUCAAUACAUGCUUAGAGAAACUCAACAUUAUUUUGAAAUGCUAAAUAGAGACAAACUUGGUGCUUAUCUAGGAAAAAUGUCAUUUUAUGGUCAAAGAAGGUAUUGUUUUAGGCCAUAAAAUCUCUAUACGAGGUAUUGAAGUUGAUCCUACAAAGGUGGAGGUCAUUUCCAAGCUUCUUUCACCUAUUAAUGCUAAAGAAGUAUGGAGUUUCUUAGGCCAAGCAGGUUUCUAUAGAAAGUUCAUACAAGACUUUGCAAAAGUUGUCAAACCUUUGAGUAAUUUGUUGGUCCAGGACACCAAAUCCAAUUUUGAUUAAGAUUUUCUCACGACUUUUGAGCAGCUCAAGCGCAAACUGAGCUCUACGUCAAUUAUCACACCACUAUACUAGAAUUUCCAAUUUGAAUUGAUGUGUGAUGCAAUUGAUCAUGUUGUAGGUGUAGUUUUGGGGCAAAGAAAACAAAAAAAAAGUUCAUGUCAUUCAUUAUGUAAGCAAGGUUCUCAAUGAGGCCCGAAUCAAUUAUUCCACCAUAGAAAAUAGCUUCUAGCAAUUGUCUAAGGGCUAGAAAAGUUCAGAUCUUACAUAAUUGGCUCUGAAAUCAUAGUUUACACCGAUCAUGUAGCAAUAAAGUAUCUUAUGAAGAAGUAGGACUCAAAACCGAGACUAAUUAGAUAGAUUCUACUUUUGCAAGAGUUUGACUUAGUCAUGAAACACAAAAAGGGUAGUGAAAAUCAUGUUAUUGAUCACCUAUCCAUGCUGGAAAACAUAAAGGUGAAUUUCAAAGAGCUAGAAAUUUAAGAUGAGUUCCCUAACGAGUAGUUGUUUUCUGUAAAGGAAAGGUCGUGGUUUGCUUACAUAGCAAAUUACAAGGCUGGUGGAGUCAUUCCAAGGGAAAUCACAUGGCACCAAAAGCAAAAACUGAUUAGAGAUGCAGAUGGCUUGCUGCAAAGGUGUGUAUUUGGAGCUGAAAGCAAAGAUAUCCUAUGGCAUUAUCACAAUUUGCCAUAUGGAAGCCAUUUCAGUGGAGACAAGACUGCUACCAAGGUCCUGCAAUAAGGUUUUUUUUAGUUAUCAUUAUUUAAAGAUGCGUAUGAACAUUGUAGGAAUUGGGGUAAAUGCCAAAGGACUAGCAAUAUAUCAAGAAGGCAUGAAAUGCAUCUGUAGAACAUCAUAGAAGUGGAAAUUUUUUUAUUGAUGGGGUAUGGACAUCAUUCAUCCAUCACCUAUGUGUCAUUCACAUGAGUCUUAUGUGUCACUCACAUGAGUAUAUAUUAGAGGUUAUAGAUUAUGUGUCUAAAUGGGUGGAAGCAAAUGUAGUGUAGAAGGCUAAUACAAAAACUAUCAUAAAAUUCCUCAAGAAAAACAUAUUCUACAUAUUUGGUACUCUUGAGGAAGCCACUUUUGCAACGUGCAACUUAAGCGUGUACUUGAGCAGUAUAAUGUGAAGCAUAAAGUUGCCACAAUCUACCAUCCACAAACUAAUGGCUAGGAAAACGUUUCAAAUAAAGAGUCGAAGAGAAUUCUGAAGAAAACAGUUUCUAAUUCCAAAAGAGACUAGUCUUUAAAACUAGAUGACAUAGUGUGGGCCUAUAGAACAGCAUUCAAGACCUCUAUAGGCUUGACUCCAUUCCAUUUAUUCUAUGGAAAAGCUUUUCAUUUACUAUUGGGGCUGGAAUAAAAAGCUUUGUGGGCUUUAAUAGCCCUUAAUUUUGAUCUAAAUGCUACUGGUGAAGAGCUUAGAUUGCAAGCAUGACUCCACAAGGAUCUACAAAUUAAAGAUGAGGGUCUAUCUUGGCAAAAAGAUUCUGAAAUGUGAAAUCAGACUGAAUCAAUUGGUUCUUCUUUACAAUUCUAUAUUGAUAUUGUUCUUAGCAAAAUUGAAAUCCAAAUGGUUUGGACCAUUUAUUGUCAAGAGUAUGAAAUGAUUUGGGGCAAUUGAAAUUGAAGAUCUUGAGACAAAAUAAAGUUGGAUAGUGAACGAACAAAGAUUAAAUGAAUAUCAGGAUGAUAAUCUUGCCAAAUUCACUACAAAGACCUUACUGAACGAAUCAUGAAAAGAAGAGGUAUCGAGUUAAAGAUGUUAAAUAAAAACUAUCAGGAGGGAGUCCGACUUUAAUUAGAAUUAUUAGUUUUAUAUUAUUUUAUUGAUUAAAUGUUACAUGCAAGACAUUUAGGAUAAUAAAAGGUUAGACAAUACUGGAAAAUUAAGAGAAAUCUCACAACAAAGAGUGAACCUUUAAACAUGAAGUAGAGUUUGUGGCUCAAACAACAGAAUUGGCGCUUAAGGCACCACUCGCAGGUGAGUCACACCGAGUUUAAAAAUUUAAACUUUGAUAACUGAAUCCUAUAUAAAUUAAUUCAUUUAAAACCUACUACUCACCCGAGUCACUCCAUUCACUCUCGCAAGCUCUCUCAAUCCUUCAAAACUCUCACAACCAUCAUUCUGUCACAUUGCGAAAAUUCUUUCUCUCAACAUCUUCACUGCGUUAUUCAAUAAGUAUCAUACAUUACAUUUCAAUCUCUUAUGGACAUCAAGCGUAUAGGGUUCACUCAAGCCCCUACUUACGGCUUGAACACCCUUUCUUAUGUUAAAUCAUUUGCAUGUUAAUUUCUGUUAAUAAGGAGGUUUUGAUUUACUGUAUUGAUUGUUUCAAAGCUUGAAGAACAUCUGAAUGAAGAGUUUUUCCUUAAAAAUUCAAAUUUUAUGCUUGCAUAUCAAAUUUAUGAAAGGAUAAAGCAAUUGUGAAUACCAUGUUACUGAUUUCAUAUGUUGGAUUGCAUGUUAAAAAAUUUUUUUAGUGGUUGAUUGUCACAAACUAAAAAUUGUGUCAGACAAUGAAUUCAGUGCCAAAAAAAAAUCACUUUGACAAUUGAACUGAUGUUACAUGUGAUGUCGCUAAGGAAUUACUUUUAUCAACAACCAUAUAGAGAAGGAAUUGAUUUUUUAUGGUAAAACUUUUGCAGAUGACAAAAAAAAAAGUAGGAAAAAAGUUUUUUAACAACUUUUCUUUUACAACAUUUUGAUAACUCAUACAUGAUAGUUUAUGUUUGAUCCGUUUCAAAUAUUUUUUUUUUAAAUAAAUUUAAACAAAUUAAUAAAAUAGUGACACUAUCAUAUUGUUAAAAAAUUAUUAAAAUAUCAUAUAAAAAAAAUAUAUAGUUCACGACAUUCCUACCUCUAAGAAAGGCAAACUGCUGCAAACUCAACGAAGAGGAGGGAACACAACCUUGUGUUGGAAAUCUCUGAAAGUUCAUCCUCAAGAAUUUCAAAUUUUGGGGUGCAAGUAAAUUUGAAAGGAAAGUGAAAAUGGAAAUAAAAUAGAGAUUUAUUAAAAAAAAGGCAGUUAAAACCAUUAUAUUUUAUAUGUAAAAUAGUUUUAAAAAUAACAGUUAAAAUCUUCAUUUUUAACAUGUAAAGUGUGGCUAUUCUCCAACUAUCGUAUUAUACUAAAAAAUAGGUGAUUUUAAAAAGUCACCAUAUUAAAUUGCCACAAUAUAUACGAAUUUUUGUAAUGUUAUAAAUUGAGUGAGUAAAAUUAAUAUUAUAUUUUAUACAAUAAUUAAUAUUUAUUAUUUAGAAUAAUUUUAACAUCAUAGUUUUGACUUUUAAAUAGUCAAUUUCUUAACCAUACCAACAAAAUCAAUACUAAACAUAAAUUAGUGAGUGUUUUUCAUUUAUGUCCUUUAUAUUUGAAGCAAAAUCUCCAUUUUUCUGUAUUGUAUAAAUUUCACAUAACAUAUUAUACCCUUUUAUAUUUUUGAAUAUAUUUAUAUAUUUAUGAAAUGGAAUUUCCCUAGUGUAAAAAUCACUUUUUAUAAGGAUUUUUUAUACUAGUUAUAAUUAUCCGGUGUAAUAAGUGUGGUGGUGAAAAAAUUGUAUAAAAUGACAUUUUUAGGGUUUUGGAAGCAUAAACCAUCUUACUUUUCCAGUAUCAUUCUCUACUCUUCAUCUUGAGUUACUCUUGUUAGAAGUGGACUUUAAACCUAACUCAACCCCACAAAAUCGGCUUGUAAGGUGAGGUCUGCACCCACUUAUAUACUAUGAAUUGGCCUUAUCUCUAGUCAAUGUGAGACUUUCAACACACUCCCCUCACACCGAGGUAUAUACAUCUCGAGCGUGGGACUAGACAUUAAUGGGUGGUCCAAUAGCGACCCGAUAGUUGGUGGAACAAUAUGCCCAACAAACAACAAAUAUCGUUAGGAUAGGCUUUUAAUGAUGAAUCUGAUACCAUGUUAGAAGUGGACUUUAAGCCUAACUCAACCCUACAAAACCGGCUUGUAAGGUGAGGUCAACACCCACUUAUAUACUAUGAAUUGGCCUUAUCUCUAGUCGAUGUGGGACUUCCAACAACUCUCCACAAAGGUAACACCUGGUCCUGCUGCUAUAAGCCUUCUCUAGCCCAAAGACGUUGACGAUGAUUCCAAAUAGAGCUAUCAUCGGCUUGUCAUUGUCACGAGGGGUAGCUUCCCUUGGAUCUUCUAUGUGUAAGUUCGAAGAACCUCCACUGAUGACCAGACAUUCUUUUCUCUCAUCGUCAUUGCCUUAAUUCGAGUCAUUGGUGACGCACCACAUCCUUUCUCCUUUUCGAUUGUUUUCUCUUUAAUGUUGAUUGAAAAAGGUAGUUAUGAGAUAAGGACUCUAAUUCUUUUCUCCUGAAUGUUGGAAAGAGGCGAGAAAAGGACUUAGAUGUUUUUUCUCCUAAAUGUUGGAAAGUAGAUUGAGAUAGGAACUUUAAUUCUUUAGUCUUCUAUACAUUAUUUUGAAACAAAUUCUUUGAGCCACUAGAAAUUGGAGAGCAUGUCCACAAACAACAACAGAGAAUGUCGAUGGAAAUAGUUAACAAUGAUGGAUUUUAGAGUUAUAGAUAGUAUAAAAAGUAAUACUUUCUAAACUCAUUAUAACCUUAAUUAGUAUUAAAAAUAAUAACUUUCUAUAUCACCAGUAUUUUAACUAACCCAAACCGAUAUAAAUUUUUUUAACCCAUCAUGUAAAAAAUCAUUCUAAUGGGUAAUUUUAUAGUGAAUCUAUUUCAAUGUGUAUAGUAUGAUAUCCAGGAUGAGUGGUUAUGAAGAAUAGUCGAUCGAUUAUAUAUAACAUCACGUCUAUGUUGGGCCAUAAUUGGGCCAAUGCUUAUUAUUGGGCUAGAGUCCAGCAGAAUCAAAAAUAUCUAAUUAAAGAUAUUGAGGACAAAAUAAUCAAGGAUAUCUGAAAGAUAUUGAUAAAGUUGUUUAUGAGCAACCAGGUAAAUCUGUUUCAGGUAAUUAUGUUUAUAUUUUAUUGGGCUUGUGAUAACCUAUAAAUACAGGGUUAAGACUAAAAGCGAGGUAUGUUCCACUCACGUUCCAUCUACACCUCACUAAUACCUAGAAACAUUCAAUUAAGAACCAAGGUUCUUCUAUCAUACGCCUAACUUGAGCGUCGGAGUGUCAUUGUAGGUACCUCUCCCCUCGGUCAAAGAUCGAAGUCCACCAAAUGGUCAAGGCUGAAGAAGAGUGAGCGGUCCAGAUUAUAGGAAAGCGAGCAAAGUAGAGGACUAUGAAGGCAAAUAGGCGUCUGUCAGGUCAGUCUUUCGGUCCCACAAAAUUCAUACCGAAACAUUUUGGUUCUCACCAUGAGGCCGAACGACAUUCCCACGAAAGCCACGAGGAACCAAUACGAACGUUCGGUUUCGACAUCACUACUUCGAAUCAAUAUUAAAAACUUCCAACAAAACAAAAACUACUCGACCAAUAUCAUCAUCUCAACAGAAAAUUUCAUAUUUUUUAAAAUAUGAAAAUCUUAAAUAUCUGAUUACAAUGUAUAUUACCGCAACUAUUUUAUAUAUAUAUAUAUAUAUAUAUAUAUAUAUAUAUAUAUAUAUAUAUAUAUAUAUAUAUAUAUAUAUAUACUGCAAAAUUAAGGUAACGGCGGUACGAUGGAAGGAGUAACAGGAAAAGAAAACAAAUUUCCAUGAUUGUUUAGAGCAUUAUAUUUGCAAGGUUUAAUACCUAUUUUGGUCUCUCCUUUGGGAGGGUUUGUUCAAAGUGGUCCCUCCUUUUUUCAAAAGUUCACUCAAGUCCCACUGUUUGCAAAAACUGUUCAAAGUGGUCCUUUUUGCUAACGGCGUUAAGUUCACUAACGGUAGAGCUGCCAGGUGUCUAACAUGUGAUGAUGUGGCAUUGUUAUGUGUUUUAAAAAAAAAUAAAUUAUUGUGACGUGUAAAUUAAUGUUGUUAGGGUUAAAUUAAAAAAUGAAUUAGAGUUAAAUUAGAAAAUGAAUUAGGGAUUGCAUUGAGGAUUGGGAAAAUCUGGGCAACUUAGGGUUCAUACCUUCAAUCUGAGUUUUGCCCAGGUUUCAAAUUAUUAGUAAGUUACAAGGUUAAGGAAGUUCUAUCUUUGGAACGAUGUAAAAUGGAUGGAGGAAAAAAGUGGUACUGGUGUAAAAGCGAAACCAGAGUUUUGUUCCUUCUUGAAUGUGAAGUCCCCGAAGCGGGGUUUGAAGUGGAGCAUGAAGAGCGGGGAACCGGUUCGGGAGGGAAGAUUGAACUCGCAGCUCAUGAGCAUGGAGCUCUUGAGAGGGGAANCGAAGGGUCCGGNUCCCGUUUUCACUAUGAGCGAGAAAGGGUUCUUGGAAUCGUUAGGUCGAUACGCCACUUUAAGCGAAGGACCUGAUUCGAAAAAGGUAGAAAGGUUGAGAGUUAGUUCUUUGGUUUCACCAGCGACGAUACCGGAUUAAAAGGGCAUUCCCAGAACGCUCAGCGGCACCUUCGCCCUAAACAAGGGCUUCUGCUAUUCUUCCCGGAAAUUCAGAGAGGCUUUCAUCCUUUCUUUCAACUUGGAACCCUAGUUUUGAUUUGGGGCUCACUGGGGUUUCAUCCAUGUCUUUGGAACGAUGUAAAAGCGAAACCAAAGAUAGAACUUCCUUAACCUCGUAACUUACUAAUAAUUUGAAAUCUGGGCAAAACUCAGAUUGAAGGUAUGAACCCUAAGUUGCCCAGAUUUUCCCAAUCCACAAGGCAAUCCCUAAUUCAUUUUCUAAUUUAAUCCUAAUUCAUUUUUUAAUUUAACCCUAAAAACAUUAAUUUACACGUCACAAUAAUUUAUUUUUUUUAAAACACAUAACAAUGCCACAUCAUCACAUGUUAGACACCUGACAGCUCUACCGUUAGUGAACUUAACGCCGUUAGCAAAAAUGACCACUUUGAACAGUUUUUGCAAACAGUAGGACUUAAGUGAACUUUUGAAAAAAGGAAGGACCACUUUGAACAAACCCUCCCAAAUGAGGGACCAAAAUAGGUAUUAAACCUAUUUGCAACUAAGAACCAUGUAUAUUUGCAUAUGCAAUUUUCUUCCUCAGUUAUCCACUUUCACGAGAGGAGAAAGAGAAUACAAAACGAGAAUAAUAUCUCCACAUUAUAACAUCUAAGAUUGAUUUAUAUUAUUAAAUAAUAGUAUAAAUAUACAUUUGUUUCAUAUAAUGUUUCAUAUAAUAGAAUAUGUAAACCAAGACGGGUUACUCUUAGAAUAUUGAUGAUGUCCUUAAAGAAUGUGAAAUUUUUGUUUAAAUGGCGGUUUUGAUGUCUUUUUUAUUAUAUCUUUUAUAUAUAAAAUAAUAUAUAGCUAUAAGUAUAGUCAUUUAAUUGUUGUAACUGAAACAGUUGUUCAUUUAUUAUAGGUUUAAACCCUUAUUUUUUGUCUCUAAGUUAAGUUUUGAUGUUCAGUUUAGUCUCAGCUUUUAAAAAUGUCAACUUUUAAUCCCUAUGAUAUAAAAAAUUGUAUCAAAUCAUUCCUCAUGACAACACUUAAUGAACAAUAAAUCACAAGUUUUCAUACCUAGGUAUCCAAUAUUUUGUGAUUUGUGAACGGAAGGUGUUAUGAACAACAAAUAACUUAAUGAAAAACUUGUGAUUUGUUAACGAAUAAGACUGAUUUGAUACAUUUUUCAUAUCAUAGGGACUAAAGGUUGACAAUUUUAAAAACGGAGACUAAACUGAAUAUCAGAACUUAACUUAGAAAAAAAAAAGGUUUAAACCUUUAUUAUAUAUGUUAUUUAAUAGUUAUAUAAUAUAUAUAUAUGUAUAUAUAUAUAUAUAUAACUAAUAAUUGAAACGGAAGCAUUUACUUAUCGUAUAUGACACGUCAGAAAGUUACAUGAGAUAUAACCAUGAAUAUGAACAAGAGGAAGAGGAGAAUCAGAUUUUCAUAACCACCACAGAAAGCUUAAUUUACAGGAUCCUUUAUCAAAGAAAGAAGGAAGCAGGGAUUGACAGCAAUCCUUCACUCUCUUUGAACAGAACCAAUCCAAUGGUUGUAGGGACUUUCUAAAAAAAGCCGAAGAUACCCUUCCUGAAAGCUGGAACAUCUACCAUUUUUCAGAGAUUUCCGUCGCCAACCCCGACUUGGCGACACUUUUUAGCUCAUCAACAGAAAUUCAGAAAGGAUAGACUUCAGAAACAGUCUUCUUGUCCAUCUGUCGCUAAUAAUAACAAAAGUCAUCGUCUGACAAAAACGAAAUCGCUGGAAGACAGCAGAGGUUCCGGGGUUGAUCCAGGUUCUAUCUUUCAAUACUAAUAUUCUUUAUCAAUUUUUUAUUCUUUUCAUUCCAGGAUUGGCCCAAGAAGAGACGUUAACAAAGCAAAUAAAGCUGAACUUUUGUCAGUGGACUUGUUUUAAGGAGAAAAUCAGUUCCUUUCUAUAGAAUUUUAUUUCGUGCUGCUAGGGGAAACAUGUUUCUCGAACAACCGUCAGAAGGUCAUAGAGAUAAAGGAAUCACCGUAUACCUACUUUUGCAUAAACAAAUUCACACCUAUGGAACCGCCAGGUUAUUUAAUAUUAUUAUUAUCUUUUUCCUCUUCUUCACUAUAAGCUAAUUAGUUAUCGUACGAGUCUCAAUUGCGCAUCUCUGCUCGUGUCUAAUGUAUACCGAGCGGUGCUCAUCCAUUUUAUUACGGCCAACCUCCUUAUCUGUUUGUGCAUGGUAUAGUCACGAUCAACAUUUUCAGCUCUUUGACAAGCUAGAAAGCAUUAAACAUUAAUACCUCAAAUCAUGACACUUCUUAGUAUGGAUUCUUCGAACGCUCAACACAACGUCUGAGAAUGAAUGAAAGACACUAAAGCCUCUAUUUUGCACUACUCAGCAUAUCUCGAGCAUAGCUUAUUUAUAUUAUGGAUAAAGAUACUUAGACAACAUUUUUUGACAAUAUUUGAACAUCAUCAUACGUGUCAUUGUGUGAUUGGUUCAUGGUGGUGUCAUUGUGUCAUUUGGACCAAUCACACAAUGACAUAUAUGAUUGAUGUUCAAAUGUUGUCAAAAAAUGUUGUCUAUGUAUCAUUACCCUUAUAUUAUUAAAGUCACAGGACUCUAAAGUAAUUACACUUCAACUGAACGGCCUCAUCUAUAUUUUUACCUUGCACGGUACAAGACCCUAAAGUAGUCACAUCUCGACCAUGCCACUUCUUAAUAUAGAUUUUUCAAACAAUCAACCGAAGACCAACCAGUCUUACUUUCUCGGUCGAUUGGCCUUAUAGCAUAAUCUUUUUUUUAUAUUAAUUGUUUAAUCUUGUAAAUACAUUAGUUUGUUUGGCUACUCUUUUUCUCAAUGCAGAUAAUCAUAUCUUGCAAAGAAAUUACAAGAAGUGGCUGACAAAGAGUCGUUCGUGCUGAGGCACCUAAUAAAGGGAUACAUUCCCUAGGGCCAAAGAGCCUGACCGCGUUGACGGAUAAAUCAACAUCCGAACGCGUCCAACAAAGGGAUCUGUCCCUAGGACCAAAGAGUCUGAGUGCAUUGACGGAUAAAUCAACAUUCGGACGCGUCCAACCAAGGGAUCCGUCCCUAAGGCCAAAGAACCCGAGCGUGUUGACGGAUAUAUCAGCAUCCGGACACGUCCAAUCAAUGGAUGCAAUCCCUAGGGUCUAAGAACCCGAGCGCGUUGACGGGCAAUCAACACUCGGACGCGUCCAAUCAAGGGAUGGAAUCCCUAGGGUCUAAGAACCUGAGCGCGUUGACGGGUAAUCAACAUCCGAACGCGUCCAACCAAAGGAUGCAAUCCCUAAGGUCUAAGAACCCGAGCGCAUUAACGGGUAAUCAACAUCUGAACGCGUCCAAACAAGGGAUGCAAUCCCUAGGGUCUAAGAACCCCAGCGCGUUGACGGGUAAUCAACAUCUGAACGCNAAUCAACAUCUGAACGCGUCCAAACAAGGGAUGCAAUCCCUAGGGUCUAAGAACCCCAGCGCGUUGACGGGUAAUCAACAUCUGAACGCGUCCAAUCAAGGGAUGCAAUCCCUAGGAUCUAAGAACCCGAGCGCGUUGAUGGGUAAUCAACAUCCGAACGCAUCCAAUCAAGGGAUACAUUCCCUAAGGACAUUAAAAACGGUCUACUUAUCAUUGGACGAUCAUAACGCACCAAGCAUGAUAAAGAUGAACGACCUUAUAAAAUGGGUUAGUCUAAUUACUUAUAUUCUUUUGACAAUUCAUAUUCGGGUGUUAUCUUCCUUUGGAAGAGGUAAAAUAGAGGUUAUCAAAUCGCUAUUCAACAUGGGAAAAAGUUCUAAAAAGAACUCCCAUCAGCAUUCAGCCUAUGACAAAGUUCAAAAAGAGAACGCAUAAAAGCUCGUCGUUCGGUCCACAGAUGAGCAACGACUAGAAGCACGCUCUCCAAACACAACGAAUACAACCUCCCUUAGACUCAUAAGUCCUAUAGUUAACCAUAGCUAAAGCCUAACGCUUAACUUGGACUUGGGGAGCAUUAUGUAUAGUAUGAUAUCCAGGACGAGAGAUUACAAAGAAUAACCGAUCGAUUAUGUAUAACACCAUGUCUAUGUUUGGCCAUAAUUGAGCCAACACUUAUUAUUGGGCUAGUAGUCCAACAGAAUCAAAGAUAUCUUAUUAAAGAUAUUGAGGACAAAAUAAUAAAGAAUAUCUGAUUAAAGAUAUUGAUAAAGUUGUUUAUGAGCAACCAGGUAAAUUUGUUCCAGAUAAUUUUGUUUAUAUUUUAUUGGACUUGUGAUAACGUAUAAAUACAGGACCAAUGCUAAAAGACAAAUAUGUUCCACUUACGUUCCAUCUACGCCUCACUGAUACCUAGAAACAUUCAAUUAAGAAACAAGGUUCUUCUAUCAUACGCCUAACUUGAGCGUCGGAGUGUCAUUGCGAAUAUCUCUCCCUCGAUCAAAGAUCGGAAUCCACCGAACGAUCAAGGCUGAAGAAGAGCGAGCGGUCCAGAUCAAAAGACUAAGAAGGCAAAGACGCGUCUGCCAGAUCAGUCUCGGUUCCACAAAAUUUAUACCGAAACACAAUGAUAUCAAUCAUAACAUUAAUAAUCAGAACUUCAUUUCAUAAUAUCGCCUACAUAUAUAUGUAGACUUUUUGGACAUUUAGAAAGUACAAUAGUAACGCAAAACAACAAAAACACAAUGAUAUAAUCUACAACGAAUCACAACAUUUUGAGACUUCUGCAAACUUUUGCGAAUAUAUCCUAACAAUUGCACAACUGAAAAAACAAAAAGACACAAAAACUAAAGAUUUUCAAAACAUGGAACAUUCGUGUUAUUGCCAACUUUACUUUUCAUUGUAAACUUCUGUUGUUUGGUGUUUUAGUGCACAGAAACCACUAAGCAAUACGAUAUUGAUCAAGAACUUCAGCAUUUCUCUUUCCUGUGACGAUUCUGAACUCCCUUAAAUCUGCAUACUGAAAUGGUCGAUAACGUGGACCACCGUUAAGUUCCGCUAACUUUGGAUGAGCUUCAACAAUACCAUCCCUUGCUGCUAACAUAAAUAUACCAAACGAAUAACGAGUACAUGUUUCCUUGCAGAUUACACGAUGCCUAGCAUUCCAAAAUUUUUCAUUGCUCCAAACCUGUGAGAAAAAAAGGUAUAUUUAUUUUCAAGAGUAGUGUACAAAUAUUAAUAUAAUUCAAAAGAAACCUAAUAAUAUAUGCUCACAUGUCCAACAUCUCCAACAAUGCAGAGGAAGGAGCCUGAUUUUGGAGUGACUUUUUUCAAUAAGCCAGAAUCAUCCAACAGUUCAAGACCAGUAACAGUUUCAUCAUCUUGAAGAAGAGUGAUAAAUCCUGUAUCUGAGUGCAACAUUAUUCCCAUUUCACCAACAUUUUCAGGGCUGAAAUUGUAUUUAAUAGUUCUUAAAAGGAAAGGCCAGUCCUUGAAAUCAACAUCCACUAUACCCAAACACUUGGCCAUCUUUUGUGCUAUAGUUGAUGCUAAGUCAUGAAUUGCUUUCCC
rnacentral:lncRNA from 1 species